AGAUAGUUAGGUGCUAUUUGGGGCUGUGUUUUUUUUUUUUUUUUUCCUUUAGUAGCUUAUAGGCUGUCUUCGUUUGACUUUAAAAGUUUCUCUGAUUUUAAAAUGUAAUAAUACAUAACUAGUGAAAUAUAUGUUUACAAAAACAAAUAGGUUUUAAUACAACAUGUAAUAACAAAAUUAGCAUCUAAAGCUUUGGUUUGAUUUGAUUAAUUUAAAUUUUGUCAUGUAUCAAAUUUUAGUGAAAUACUUGCAAUUUUUUUAAUAAGAUGUAGUCUGAAACAAAAUGUGUUUCCACAUGUACAUUAUGUGUUGUAAUGGGUUGCAAGUCAUCAUGUUCCCGUAUUUUAUCUAUUCUAAAGUUUGAGAAAAAUUAUGAAUUUCUGUAUAUUUAAAGAUUUGUAUCAUAAAUAACGCUAUCCAGAACUAGUCCAAUAUACUUGCACACAUGAAAAUCUACUACAAGUCUUCCUCCUCGAACUCCUAACUAGUCCAAGUUUUAUUUCUGUAUAUUUAAAGAUUUGUAUCAUAAAUAACGCUUUCCACGAUCAAAAUAACAAUAAUAGAAGGCCACAUUUUAGGUAAAUUUAGGGUUAUGUAUUUAGUGUAAUACUGUAAUAUAUUAUAUUACAUGUUUGGUCUGUUUGUUUGAGAAAUGCAUGAUAUUAUAAUUCUUAUCGUUAGCAUACAAGUUGAAUGGUUUGGUUAUUACAUUUGUAAUGAUGGAGUUUGUUAGAAAUCAAUUAUCUGUCUUUGGUGAACGAUUAUAUAGGAAAACCAAUAAUGUAUGUUUCUUAGAAUUUCUAUAUUAUAUGUUUUCAUUAUCACUAAUUUAGAAACAAUAUUAUGAUAUUUUUUAUUAUUUUAUUUUUUUUUGUCUUAAAAUGGGUACAUGUAAUUUGUUUUGCUGUAGCUAGCAUUUCUUAGGCACGAUACUAACCAAUAUGAUCUGUACUCACUAAAGAAGUUUUUUAUAUGGUCAAGAGUACGUCUUUAAUUUGUGGACGAGGUAGGAGUUUGAGGAGGAAGACUUGUAGUAGAUUUUCAUGUGUGCAAGUAUGACUUCCGCUGUAAUUUUUAUAAGAUUUGUUUUGUUAUGAGCAAUUCUUUUAAAAUACUAUUGAUUUAUUUAUUGAUAAGAUAGUCUCAUGAGUUUCUAAUUGAUGGAGAUGCACUAAGGUUAAGCAUAGAGAUGUUUUUGUAACUUGUAUUUUACAUACAUGUAUAAAUCUAUUUUAUUAAUAGAAAUGUAUCUAGAUGAUGUUAGGCUGACAACCUAUAAUGGUGAUAAACGCCUAUGAACUACAAUCAAUUAGUGAUCUGAUAUACUGCAUGUUGAUUCUAAAAAUCACACGAUGAAUUAGUUUAAAGGAAAAAAACAAAUUCAAUUAACUCUCUUGCUAUUUCUGAUCAAAGAUUCAAAAGAAAAAUGAAUUUUAUUGUUUAUAGACAAAGUUAGGGUUUUGCUCAAAAACAAUUAGGGUUUUUGCAUAAAGUUGCGGAUGCAUGCCUUUCAAUAGAGGACAAACUCUUCUAUUUAUACAUAAUUAAGGCGGUUAAAGAUAAGUUAAACUUCCGAAUCUUCGGGGCUUUAUCUUCUGUUUUUCCUUUCUUUUCGCGAUUCUCCUUUUUCUUUAAGGAAAAUCUUCCUUUUUCUUGGACGAGAAGUCGGUUUAGGCGAUCUCAUGUUUUCAGGUCGAGCUCGCCAGGCGACCUCCUCUCUCUGGCCCAUUAACAAGCCUAACCGGGAUUCCCUGGUUUAACUGAAUUCUCAGAUUAGUUCGCAAUUCGUCCGGUUUAAGUCGGUAUUGUCGGAGGUGCUAAUUCCAGCAAACCUAGUUUAUAAAGGAGUUCGGAUCUGCGAUCAUCGUGAAAAGACAGCAGGUCAUGGUAUUUUUUAUGUCUGCUUUCAACGCACGAGAGAAAGCCUUCCGCCUCACGUCUAUCGUCUAGGUUUAACUGAAACAGGAAAGUCCACAGAACGCGAACGUUGUUAAAGAAGGUCAUGCCCCUUUCGAUCGCUUCGGCGUUAGAAAAGGUUGGAACGUCGUGGUUAACCGCGGAAUAAGAACCGGAGCUUUCCAUACUUUGAGAAGGAAAGAAGUUCUUUGGAUUUUUUCGAUGGUGUUGGCACCACCCGGAGGAGAUAUUUAUACCAACAAUUAAGAGUCGGUCUAAUUGGAUUUCCGAAUGAAAAAAGGAAAACAUCUUGUUUUCCUUUUUCGAAAAGGAAAUGACUAAUACUAGUUUUUUUCUUUUUACUUCGAACGAGGAAAAAGAAACUUGCAUAAAUAAGGGAAAAAUAUCCAGAAGGAAAUUAAAAACCGCCCCAAAAAAAUGGGUCCACGGUUGAAUCAGGUUCGAAAAAAUUACAAGGCGAACAGACAAGAAAGAAUAAAAACAAUGAGAUAGGAGAGGUGGAGGCCGCUAGGCUUCAGGAUCCUGCUCGUCAACGGUGACAUGGCGAAUGUCACUCUGGGUCACGAGCUCGAAGUUCAACAUACGGCGCCAAUUGUUGAUUCUAAAAAUCACACAAUAAAUUUUUUAAAGGAGCAAAAUAAAUUCAAUUAACUCUCUUGCUAUUUCUGAUCAAAGACUCAAAAGAAAGAUGAAUUUUAUUGCUUAGAGACAAAGUUAGGGUUUUUGCAUAAAGUUGCGGAUGCCUUUCAAUAGAGGACAAACCCCUCUAAUUAUACAUAAUUAAGGCGGUUAAAGAUAAGUUAAACUUCCGAAUCUUCGGGGUCUUAUCUUCUGCUUUUCCUUUCUUUUCGCGAUUCUCCUUUUUCUUUAAGGAAAAUCUUCCAUUUUCUUGGACGAGAAGUCGGUUUAGGCGAUAUCAUGUUUUCAGGUCGAGCUCGCCAGGCGACCUCCUUUCUCUGGCCCAUUAACAGGCCUAACCGGGAUUCCCUGGUUUAACUGAAUUCUCAGAUUAGUUCACAAUUCGUCCGGUUUAAGUCGGUAUUGUCGGAGGUGCUAAUUCCUGCACCAACACUGCAAAAUCAUUGACGAGUAUAAGCAUGAACAAGCCACAUUAAAUGUAAUUGUACAUGAGUCAUUUAUCACACGUCGAACCUACACGGAUCUCAAAUGUCAUUGCACCCGUGUUUGUGCAUUGGUACCGCCUUAUCAUUGUUGCCCUUCCUAUUCUUUGAGUUUUUUUUUGUGAAAGGGAAUUUGUCUCUUCCAUACUCCAAUAUUACAUAUGAAGCCUUUCCAAACGUCAUCGUUUAAACCCUUUGGCAGCUUCUUCCCUUCUAUUCACUUUUGCUUCCACUCGUUCAAAUUGUCUAUUUAUACGAGGUUGUCGCUUGGCUCAAGAGUCAAGAACUCGGCAAAUACGAGAUUCGAAUGUUGCGACUUCCAAUUGAAAUCUUUUUAUGGAAUAAAAUAAAAAAUAAUCAUAGACAUGUCUUUCUUUUUUUUUUUGUGAAACAUAUCAUAGACAUGUCUAAUUAAAAGGAAUUUCAUGUCUACUUGCCGAAAAGGAUUUGAACCAUGUCUCUUUUACAUCAUUCGGAAUGUGUGACAAUUUGGGAUAUGGAUGCUCGAGUUGUGAUUGUAAAUUUUUUUAAAUAGACUUGGUGAUGCCAUUUGUUUUGUCUAAACCUACAAUUUGGAAAUAACAUACAUAUUAGUAAAAUAAUAUUAAAAUUGUUAAUAUAAAAAAUUAUUAAAAAAGUAAUUGGAAACAGAAACAAUUACCAAGUCGCUCCAACUUCUUCAUGAGGACGGAGCUAUGUGAUAAGCUCUCAGCUGGGUUGUUGCACAAGCUCUUUUAGAGAAUAAGAUAAAUUGUUGAAAGAUGAUUUUUAAUUGAUCAUAAGUGGUUUUUAUAUAGGCCAAGUCGCGGAGCCAGUAUUUUUAUUUACAGGGGUCAUGUCUAUUUAAUUAUUUUAAUUACUAGGAUAUGAACCCCGCGAUAUCGCGGGAAACUCAUUUUCAACAAAUAUAUUUUAUUAUGUUUAUGUAUUAAAAUAUUUUAUAAUAUAUUCAAAUAAUUGAAUUAUUAUAUAAAAUUAACUGUCUUAAAGUUAUAUCAUAAAUAUUUUCUAAAUAUAUUAAAAAAAAUUUAUGAAUAAAAAUGUAAAAAACAAAAUUAUGAUUAAAAACACUUUUGAAACAUUUUUUGUGAAUAUAAAAUUAUUUAUAAGUGACAAAAUAACUAACGAAGAGUUAUAAUAUACAGAGGAAAAAUUCUAGCGGUCAAAACCAAAAAGAUAUAAAAAUAACCGUCAACACAAAAAGUAACCAUCAAUAUUUUAACGAAGCGUUGCGAUAAAAAGACAUAACCGAGAAAAAAUAACCGUCGAUAUUUUAACGAAAAGUUGCGAUAAAAAACCACAACCGAGAAAAAAUAACCGUCAAUAUUUUAACGAAAAGUUGCGAUAAAAAGACACAACAAAAUAAGUAAAUGUCAACAUUUUUACGAAAAGUUAUGAUAAAAAGACACAUCAGAAAAAAUAACUGUCAACGAAAAAUGUAACCGUAAAUAUUUUAACGAAGAGUUGCGAUAAAAAGACACAACCGAGAAAAAAUAACACUCAAUAUUUAAACGAAAAAUUACUAUAAAAAGACACAAACGGAAAAAAAUAACCGUCAAUAUUUUAACGAAGAGUUGCGAUAAAAAAACACAACCGAGAAAAAUAACCGUCAAUAUUUUAACGAAAAGUUACGAUAGAAAGACACAACCGAGAAAAAGAAACCUUCGAUAUUUUAACGGAAAGAUACGAUAAAAAGACAAAAACAAAAAAAGAAACCGUCAAUAUAUUAACUGAAAGUUAUGAUAAAAAGACAUAACCGAAAAAAUAACCAUCAAUGAAAAAUUGUAACCGUAAAUAUUUUAACAAAGAGCUAGAACAAAAAGAUACAACCGAGAAAAAAUAACCGUUAAUAUUUUAUAGAAAAGUUGCGAUAAAAAGACACAAACGUAAAAAGUAAUGUUAAUAUUUUAACGGAAAGUUGCGAUAAAAAGACACAACCAAAAAAAUAAUAGUCAACAAAAAAAAGAAACGUCAAUAUUUUAACUAAGAGUUGCGAUAAAAAGACACAACCGAGAAAAAAUAACCGUCAAACUUUUAACGGAAAGUUGUGAUAGAAAGACACAAACAAAAAAAUGAACGUCAAUAUUUUAACGGAAAGUUACGAUAAAAAGACACAACCAAAAAAAUAACUGUCAACGAAAAAAGUAACCGUCAAUAUUUUAACGAAGAGUUGCGAUAAAAAGAUAUAACCGAGAACAAAUAACUGUCAAUAUUUAAGCAAAACAUUGCGAUAAAAAGAGACAACCGAGAAAAAAAUAACCGUCAAUAUUUUAACAGACAAAAAAAGACACAAUCGAGAAAAAAAUAUCGUCAAUAUUUUAACAAAAAAGUUAUGAUAAAAAGCAGAAACGAAAAAAGUAACCGUCAAUAUUUUAACGGAAAGUUGCGAGAAAAAAACACAACUAAAAAAAUAACCGUCAACGAAAAAAGUAACCGUUAAUAUUUUAACGAAAAGUUGCGAGAAAAAGACACAACCGAAAAAUAACCGUCAACUAAACAAUUCACCGUCAAUAUUUUAACGGAAAGUUGCGAUAAAAAGACACAACCGAGAAAAAAUAACCAUCAAUAUUUUAACGGAAAGCUGCGAUAAAAAGACACAAAUGAAUAACGUAACAACCAAUAUUUUAAUGGAAAGUUGCAAUAAAAGACACAACCGAAAAAAAACCGUCAAUAUUUUAAUGAAGAGUUACGAUAAAAAACACACCCAAAAAAAUAACCGUUAAUAUUUUAACGGAAAGUUAUGAUAAAGAGACAUAACCGUUCAAAAGUGCAAAAUGCAUUUAUUGAGGUUGUUAUUUUGGUUAAUAAAACCAAUUUGAUAUGUAGUCUAAUGGUUGAUGUAAAAAAACUUCGUAGUAUUACUAACUAUACAAAAAAUGCAAUGAAAUUAUAUAAUGGAAAGACGUAACUUUAAAUGAAUAAAUGCAACUAUAAAGAUAUAACUGUAAACUGAAAAGAUACAACUGUAAUUGAACAAAUAUAACCGUAAAUAAUUCAACGAAAAUUCAAAGAGAAAAUUCAAUAAAAAGACAUAACCGUAAAAAAAAUAACCGAUUUGAACGAAAGGUUGCGAUAACAAGACGCAACCGUUCAGAUGUGCAAAUGGUAUUUAUUAGAUUCCUAUUAUAUAUAGAUUUAUAAUAUUAAAUAAUAUAUUUAAAGUAUAAAUUGUCAAAAAUAUUUAAAAUUUGUUACCUAAAACAAAACAAAAUCAUCUAUUUUUAAAAAGCUUCACUUUCCAAGUAAAAUAUAUUUUUAGUCGUAUUAAGUACUUUUUGUUCUCAAUUUUUUUUUUAUCAAAAUGUAUAGCAUAUAGUGUUUAUCUACACUUUUUCAAAAAUAUAUGUUAUAGAACAUUUUUUAAGAAAAUGUAACAAAAAAUAUUGAAAUAGGAUAUGUCUAAAAGAGAAGAAAAAAAUAAAUAUGCAAGAAGAGAUUAGAAAGUUUUAGUUAUUUUGAACAAAAAAAAAGAAAUAAAGAUGAAAAACAGAAUUAAAGUUCAAUGAGAAAUGAACAUGCAUGGGUCAAAAGCAUGGUUGGAUAAAUAUCUAUGGGGUAAUUAUAGAGAUAUUAGACAAAAUCAUCUAGUAAGCAUUACAAAAUUUAGCUAACAAUUGAAACUUUAAAUUUUUUAUUGGGGUCAACUGACCCCCUCCCAUUGCACUAGCUCCGCCACUGGGCCAAGAUACACCAAUCAUAAAGCUAAAGUAAAAAAGAAAUCAUAUCUUAAGUUUCUCGUAAAAGUAAAAACACCAAAACUGAACUUCAAAAAGAAACCAAAAGACCACUUAAAACCAAUUCUAGAACGUCUCAAGCGUGGAACUGUCUUCGGUGAUACUUCGUACCGUCUUUCUUGACAAUUUUUAAGCCUCCCUACAUUGUUAACUAUAUUUUGAACCUGUUAUGAAUCUCGUGUAUUCUUUUAUUAAUGAAUGAGGUUACAACUUAUAUAUAUACACAAUAAGGGAGACAAAUCCCAAUUGGACUAGGAAACCCUAAAGCCCAAAGCCCACUAAGACUAACAUAAACCGUCAUUGGGCGAAUCUUCUAGAAGAUAGACAUGGGCCUUCUAGAACAUGGACAUGGGCCUUCUAGAACAUGGACAUGGGCCACGGUUAUGGAGUCCAUCCGUAAUGUGGUUUACAACACUCCCCCUUGGAUGACAUAACCGUGUAGAUGCCAAAGGAUCUUUGUAAUGCGCUUGGGGAUGCUGCCUCAUUAAAACCUUACCAGGAAAACCCAUUGGGACAAAACCACGGUGAAUGAAAAAGAGUACAGCACGCAUUACUCCCCCUGUAUUGGUCAUCCCUGCAAGUCCUUAAGUCUCCGCAUUCCAAUUUGAUGCGUGAGCUUCCUUAAUGUUGUUGUCGGUAGUGCUUUAGUGAAGAGAUCGGCUGAGUUGUUGCUUGAACGAACUUGCACCACUUGAACUUCACCAUCCUUUUGUAGGUCAUGCGUGAAGAAGAACUUAGGUAGAAUGUGCUUUGUCCGAUCUCCCUUGAUGUAGCCGUCCUUGAGCUGAGCGAUACAUGGCUACGUUGUCUUCACAUAUGAUGGUCUUUGAUGUUGUAGUAGCUGCGCCUUGAAGAAGGCUGCCUACGUACCCUUGGAAGGGAUCAAGCCACACGUAGUUCCUAUUUAUUGACCAUGCCAUAAUCUGAUCUUACCUGCAUCAGCAAAACAAACUAAACCAAGGCAAACUAGACCUUUUUUGGUUAGAUCAAUAUAGAAUAAACCCAAAUAAACAAAGUACGAAGAAUAAACUUUAAAAUUUAACCAAACCUUCCUUCAAACCUUUCCAGUGCCUUUGGGUUGAUCAUGAACUAAAUUUAGACAAAGGAGGUUCACGGCAAAACAUAUGUCUGGUCUAGUGUGGCUAGCCAAGUACAUUAACGCUCCUAUGACACUGAGGUAUGGCACUUCAGGACCGAGAACUUCUUCCUCGUCCUUCUUUGGACCGAAUGGAUCACUAUCCAAUCCAAGGCUUCUCACCACCAUUGGGCCUGGUCAAUGGGCGGGCCUGGUCCUUAUUAAAUAUCCUUGAGUACUUUUCAGUAUAUGCCUUUUGAUGCACAAGGAUUCCAUUAUUCAUGUACUCAGGUUGUAAUCUCAAACAGAACUUAAUUAUUGCCUAGGUCUUUCUUUUAGAUAUAUUCAACUGUUUGGUCGAUUACCCAGAGGUUUAAAUUAUUCAUAUACACUGCUAUGAUUACAAAUCCUUUGUUUGCAAACCUCUUUAUGAAAAUACAUGGACUAAUGGGAUCAUUUAUAACAUUCCAUAUGCCCAUUUGGUCUAAGUCCAUGAAAGGAUUUGUCCAGCCUUAUGCAGUGAUAUUCUCGAGAAUCUUUCUUAUCUUUGAGCUCAAUACCCUCUGGUAAUCUCAUAUAUAUUAUCCAGUGGACUUAUAUAAAUAUGCAGGCAUUACAUCCAUUAGCCGCAAAUCAAAUCUUUUCCUUUAUAUAGCCAGACUUAGCAUCCACCACAGGGGAGUAUGUUUCUUCAUAAUCUAUCCCCGGUCUUUGUGAGAAUCCUUGUGCUAUAAGCCGUGCCUUAUAUCUCACGAUUUCAUUAUUCUCAUUUCUCUUCUUCACAAAGACCCAUUUGUGUCCUACUAGUUUUUACAUCGAAUGGUGUCCUUAAGGUCGGACCAAACUCAUUCCUUUUCUUAAUGAUUCUUAGCUCCACGUUUUAUGGUCUUGUACCAUUUAAUCAAUCAAGUCUUUGAGUGCACUCUAGUAUAGACGUGGGCUCCUGAUCCUCAUUUAUAUUCAUAAAUUCAAGUGCUACCUUGCAUGCAAAAUCAUCUUAUGUCGACAUUUCUUAUAUGUUCCAUUAUGUUCCAGACAUGAUAUAAUCGAUUUGAGAUUAAUUAUUAUCAGGACCUUUAACACUUUGCAGCUUGGCGUCCCAAGCUACAUUGUUUGGUACAUGUACCUUAGAGCCGGCCGGCCUUAUCUCCAUGUCUGGGAUGGUUUCCUUAAUAACCUCGGUUCCUAUUGCACCUUUCUUUAAUUUCCGAGGAUUUUUUUUUAUCAUUGGAACCUUAUUGGUCUACCACGUCUCAUACGUUGUCUAGACUCUGUAGCAACUUGACUAAGUCCCUUUUGGACAUCAAUUCGUACUGGUGCAUUACAAGCUGGUAUGUACGAUUUUGUAACUUUCUUUUGGGUCAGCAAAGGAAUCUGGCAAUUGAUUAGCUAGCUUUUCAAAUGUAUAAUCUUAUGGACCUCUGAUUCUCAUGCCAGAGUCGGAGGAUCUUGCCAAUUUAAGGAUGUUUGAUUCCAUGAUAUUUCUUUUAUUGCUUUACCCAGCUUGUUCGUCUCUCCACCUAAAGUAGGAAACUCGGAUUCAUUAAAAUGACAAUCCGCGUAUCUAGCCUUAAAUAGAUCACCCGUAGUUGGCUCUAGAUACUUAAUAAUGGUGGGAGAAUCAAAUCCAACAUAUAUUCCCAUCCUCCUUUGAGGUCCCAUCUUUGUUCUAUGUGGUGGAGCAAUCGGUACAUAUACGGCACACCCGAAAGUCUUUAGAUGGGAUAUGUCUGGCUCAUGACCCAUGAGUAAUUGGGAUGGUGAAUAUUUAUGUUCACUAGAUGGCCUUAUGCGUAUAAGCUCUGAUGCAUGUAAAACAGCGUGUCCCCAAGCGGCUACUGGAAGCUUCGACCUCAUGAGUAAUGGUCGAGCUAUCAAUUGAAUUCGUUUAAUGAAGGAUUCCGCUAAUCCAUUCUGUGUAUGUACAUGUGCCACGGGAUGUUCCACACUUACCCCCAUGGACAUACAGUAGUCAUUAAACGCUUGGGAUGUUAAUUCACCGGCAUUAUCUAGACCUAUAGUCUUAAGCGGAAAAUCUGGAAAAUGGGCUCUCAGUCUUAUGAUCUGGACCAACAACCUAGCAAACGCUUGGUUUCUAGAGGAUAAUAAACAAACAUGCGACCAUCUUGUCGAUGCAUCAAUGAGGACCAUGUAAUAUCUAAAUGUCCCACAUGGUGGGUGUAUUGGUCUACAUAUAUCUCCUUGUAUCCUUUCUAGAAAGUUUAAGGUUUCUAUAUUUACCUUAGCCGGUGAUGGCCUUAUAAUGAGUUUCCCUUGUGAACAUGCUUCACACUUGAGAUUCUUAGGGAUAACUCUUUUCUCUUUUAGGGUGUGCCCCUUUGAAUUAGUUAUUAGUUUACGCAUCAUACUAUGACCCGGAUGGCCAAGCCGGUCAUGCCAUAAAGUGAAUUUCUCGAUGAACUCUUUGUUCAUUGCCAUAUUAGCUUCGAUCAUAUCGAUUUUAGCAUAGUAGAGACCAGUGGAUAAUGCGGGUAUAGUCUCUAGGACUUUCUUAUGUCCUUUGGUGAUCUCAAUUAUAUUUAGGAAUUCUUUGUUUCCUUCACCCUUUGUUUCAAUAUGGAAACCAUUCAAUCUUAUUUCUUUGAAACUCAAUAAGCUCCUCUUUGAGCUGGGUGAAUAUAAGGCAUCGCUUAGUUCAAGAUGCGUGCCAUUUGGUAAUAGAAUAUGGGUUUGGCCGUAGCCCUCAAUAAGAUUUGCUAUACCUGCUAUAGUGCUAAUAUUGGCAUUUUUUCAUUAUGAGAUUUAGGAAAAUAUCUCUUAUCUUUUGUGUGGCUCCACUAUCCACCACAAAUAUGUUCUUGUCCUCGGCCAUUUCUUAUAUGGACAAGAAUCAUGUUUUAAACAUAAAAUAAUAUAAAAUAAAUUCAAGGAAAUAACAAUCAAUGAAAACAUAAAAUGCAAAGAAAACAUAGAGGUUUUGAUGUCGAACUCAGAUUUAUCAACUUGAUUCUUUUAGGCAAUCAGAAGUCUCAUACUCUAUUAGAUCAUCUUGAUCAUGUUCACCAUUUUUAUAUACCAAAUGGGCUUUAGGAUUCUUCCUUUUCACACUCUCUUGAUAGAGGUCACAACGAUGUUUGGAAUUCCUACAUAUCUUAGCCCAAUGGUUCCCCAUUCCACAUCUAUGACAUACUCAUUUGGUCGAGUGUUGUGGUUUGGAAAUACCACAUCGUCCUCGCCCUCGACCACGGCCGGAAUUAGGUCUACAUCCACGGUUAUAGUGGUUAUAGUGGCCACAACCACGUCCUUUCCAUCCACUACGGCUACGACCGUGUGGUCUAUUACUUUAGACGUGGUUAGAUUCUUUGGAUUCUUUCUUAUCCUCUGCGGCCUUAUUGGCAUCAGGUAAUGGGGUUAAUCUAUGAGGUCGUAAUUCACUGUUUUUAUCAGUAAGUCAUUAUUUUGCUCAUCUAGCAAUAGACUCAUCCAUGGACUUAUAGUCCUGGAUUAUGAGACUCUCAAUAAGAUGGUGGCUAAUAUUGUCUUGUAUCUAUCUUUCUCUCUUGGCAUUAUUGCCUUAUUAGAUACAUUCACCAAGUCUUUUUGACUUUUAGGAUAAUCUUAGUAUCCAUUGCCCAUUUUAAAUAAUUAUCUCCUAAGAGAUUUAGGGCAGUAAAAUACAAGUUGUAAUUCAACAUCUACAAGGAAAAGUUUUGAGUCAAAAUCAUGUAAUCGUUAUGUCAUGCGGUAUUUGAGACCGAACCAUGAAUCGAUUUACUUAGGGAUUUGACUUUCCUCUUUUGCUUAGGAUUAGAUUUCCUCUUUUGCUUAGGAUUAGAUUUCCUCUUUUAAUUAGGAUUAACUUUUCCUUUUCCUUUUAGGAUUUACUUUCCUCUUUACUCUAGGAUUAAUUUUCCUAUUUCACUUAUGAUUUUAGAUUUUUAAGAUUUCCUAUUUUAUUUAGGAUUUGGAAAUUUUCUAUUUUGAAUAGAAUUAAUGAUUUUCCUAUUUACAAUAGGAUUUAAGAUUUUCCUAUUUUAAUUAGGAUUUUAGGGUUUUAAGAUUUACAAUAGGAUUAUCUUUUCUAAGGUUUCUAGGGUUCAUGCGAUUUUAGUUUUAGGGUUUCUAACAACUUAUGCAUGUAAUCAAUCAAAGAAACAAUCAAUCUAACAACCUAAACAACCUAAACAACCUCAAUCAAUCGAUUAUAUUUUAGGGUUUUAGGUUUCCAAUUCGAUUUAGGGUUUUAAAAGUUUCGGCCAUGGCUAAGUGUUUUCGAGUUUACGAGUUUGAGAUUAAGCAAUAAUAACUUUCCUAGCAACUUAAACGAGUCAAUCAAUCGGAUCAUCCAAGGAAAUAACAAUCGCUUAUCAAGCAAGGUUCGUUUUUAGAGUUUCUCUUUGCUUAACUUUCAAGUUCGAUUGUUGGUUCUUUAGCUUUACGGACUAGAACCUGGAGCUAAAGACCUCGGUUAUCAACUUGUCACGAGCGUAUGGUCCUUGGAAGGAAUCGCCGAGCAAAGGAGAAAACAAACGGACGGACGAGCUAGGGUUUUCAAAACAAAUCGGCGCACACUGUAUCUGUGCGUGAAGGCGCGUCGGUUGUCAGAUCGACAAGACGUUUGCACUGAUUGAUUCGUCUCGGCGAGGGCUUCGAUUUGAUAUCUUUCUCGUUUUCUGGGUCCUCACGAUUUGAGAGAACGACCUCUUUGAAGUUCCGAGGCAGAUUUCUUUGCGUUUUAGGGGUUUGAUGGAGAUAGAGAGAUCGUGAGAUUAGGGUAUAUGUGUCAGAUCUUUAGCUAAGGGAUUUAGAGGCUAUCGUGCUGAUAACGUGUUAUGAAUCUCGUGUAUUCUUUUAUUAAUGAAUGAGGUUACAACUUAUAUAUAUAUACACAAUAAGGGAGACAAAUCCCAAUUGGACUAGGAAACCCUAAAGCCCAAAGCCCACUAAGACUAACAUAAACCGUCAUUGGGCGAAUCUUCUAGAAGAUAGACAUGGGCCUUCUAGAACAUGGACAUGGGCCUUCUAGAACAUGGACAUGGGCCACGGUUAUGGAGUCCAUCCGUAAUGUGGUUUACAACAGAACCAUCUUUAUUGACAAUUUUUUAUUGAUACAGUAAAAACGGUAUUACAUUCCUCCCUAUAUGUAUAUCCAGAGUUAUAUCAACAUAAUACAGACUAAGGGAAAAGAUGAAUAAAGCGUUGGUUUGGUUAAUUACUUUGUUAUGUCUAAUGUUCUCUGCAACACCAAACAUAGUUUUGGCCCAUCCACCAUACAUAUCUCCAAAAACAAGUAAGUUUCUAACUCUUACAAACUAUAUGAAUUUUCUUUUGCUUACAAAUAUUCAAAAUUAAUCAGUUCUUGUUAUUAUUUUUAAUAUUGAAAAAGGAACAAGAGAAGGGGUUUGGGAUCAUAAGAUAAUGAAUGUGAGAAAGAUUCGAGUAGGAGGCAGUAUUUCAAGGCGUGCACCUGGCAACAACCCCUAGCCACAAUCUCAUGGAUUGUUAGUGUUGUUUUAGUAUCAUGCGAUUUAACUUGGUCGCAAAAAAAUAUAUUUUUGCAUGAAAUUAUCAGAUCGGUGAUUGUUGGUAAAGAAUUACAAGGAGAUAAGGUUUAUACAUACAUAUAUGAUAGGAUUGACAUAUUUAAUGGUGAUAAACGCCGAUGAACUAUAAUCAAUUAGUGAUCUGAUAUACUGCAAAAUCUCUGACCAGUAUAAGCAUGAACAAGCUAAAUGCCACAUUAAAUGUAAUUGUACAUGAGUCAUUAUCACACGUCGAACCUACACGGAUCUCAAAUGUCAUUGCACCCACCUUAUCAUUGUUGCCCUUCCUAUUCUUUGAGUUUUUUUUGUGAAAGGGAUUUUGUCUCUUCCAUAUAUUGAAUUAAAGCUUUGAUCAAGAACACAAAAUCUCAAGAAUAACUCUCUCUUUAUUAAGCUUUAGAAAUUACUCAAACUAAAACUCAAUCUCAUAAGUUGUAUCACACCUUGAUACCUCCUUAUAUAACAAAAGCUAUUGACCUAAUCCUAACUCAAUUAGGAAUUGUAUUAGAUAACUCCUAAUACAUAUAUUCUAGAUAACUCCUAGAAUAUUUAGCUUUAUCUCUUUUAUAUUUUAGUAACUUAUUUCAAGUUUAUCUCAACAUUUUCCCCCUUAAACUUGAAACCUUCCUUCGACACAUCUUGAACACCGAGAAGAUCUCUCAUCUCCUAGAAUCUGAUCCUACCAAAUGCCUUAGUCAAAAUAUCCGCUCUUUGCUCACUCCCGGGAACAUGUUCAACCUCAACUUGUUCAUUCUCUACACAUUCCCGAAUAAAGUGGUACUUCUUGUUGAUGUGUUUGCUGCGCCCAUGGAACACCGGAUUCUUUGCAAGUGCUAUCGCCGAUUUAUUGUCAAUGAGUAAUGUCACCUUCUUGCACGAGUUGUCAGUCACUUCUCCGAGUAGUUCUUGGAGCCAUAUAGCUUGUUUUGAUGCUUCUGUUGCUGCCAUAAAUUCAGCCUCGCAGGACGACAAAGCCACCGUGUCUUGCUUCUGAGUACACCAAGUAAUAGGACAAUUCUCAAGGUAAAAGAUGUGUCCAGUUGUACUUCUUCCAUCGUCUUCAUCUACAUUGUGACUGCUAUCACUAUAGCCCACAAGCUCACCUUUGUCACCCCGAGUGAAAGACAGUCCAAGAGUAAGUGUUCCUCUUAAGUAUCGGAGGAUUUGUUUUAGUGCCACUCCAUGUGAUUCUUUAGGUUCUUGCAUGUACCUACUUAAUACACCAACACAGUACGAAAGGUCAGGUCGUGUAUGCAGCAAGUAUCUUAGACAUCCUAUGAUCCUCCUAUACUCCUUCUCGUCAAUGCAAGUCUCUUCUUGUGCUUUUGACAACUUUAGUCCUGCGUCCAUUGGUAUUUGGACUGCGUUGCAUCCUUCCAUUCCCGUUUCUCCUAAGAUCUUCGCAGCAUAUCUUUCUUGCUUCAACGUGAUACCAUCUUCAUGUUGACAUACUUCAAUACCGAGAUAAUAGGUUAGUUUGCCAAGAUCACUCAUUUCAAACUUAGCCGACAUUCCCUUCUUGAAAUCCAAAAUCAUGUUCAAGUCUGAUCCCGUGACAAGCAAGUCGUCCACAUACACUGCGACUAAGAGAAGAUGCUCCUUAUCUCUCUUUCGAUUCAAUGAGGGUUCUUUCACACAUUUAAUAAAAUUCAACUCCUUAAGAAUUUUAUUCAACUUAUGAUUCCACGCCCUAGGUGCUUGCUUUAAGCCAUAGAGAGCUUUGUUUAACUUGAGGACCUUAUCUUCACUUCCUUUGAUCACAAAACCCUCGGGUUGAGUAACAUACACUUCUUCCUUCAACUCACCAUGAAGAAAUGCUGUUUUUACAUCGAGAUGAUGUAUCUCCCAUCCAUUUGAGGCCGCUAAAGCAAUGAUGAAUCUAACAGUUUCAAUGCGUGCUACUGGAGAAAACACCUCGUCAUAGUCUAUACCAAGUCUCUGCACAUAACCUUUCGCCACUAACCUUGCUUUAUACUUGUUAAUGCUUCCGUCUGAGUUUCGUUUUAUCUUGAAAACCCACUUUAGUCCAAUUGGUUUUGCUCCAAUAGGAAGAUCAACUAAGUCCCAAGUCUUGUUCUUUGUAAUCGACGAAAUUUCUUCAUCGCAAGCAUCUCUCCACUGUUCUAGCUCCUUUGCUUCAUUAAAGUCCCAUGGUUCCUCAUUUAAAGAAAGUAAGAGACGUUCUCCUUCAAGUUCAGCUAACAAGACGUAAUCUUCAAGAUAGCUAGGCUUUUUCUUUGGUCUCGUCGAGAGAGCUCUUAAUACGGGCUGAGACUGAACUGCUUCUUCUCCCUCCUCUGUUUCACCAACUUCCUCUGUUUCACCACCUUCCUCUGUCUCACCUAUCGGAGAAGUAUCUCCUUCUUCAGACCGUAUCUCUUCACCUUCUUCAGCUUCCUCUGUUUCGAUGUUACUCUGUUCUCCACUUCCUUUUACUCCAAAAUCUCCAAAAUUGACCUCAUACAUACUCGGAUCAUGACUGACUUCUUUUCCUUGACCACUCCACUUCCAGCUUCUGGUUUCAUCAAACACCACAUCCCUACUAACAAUGAUUUUCUAACUUGACGGGUCUAACAAUCUGUAUGCUUUGGAGCCUGGUUCUGUUCCCAAAUGAACCAACAUUCUUGAUCUAUCAUCCAACUUCUUCAAGUGUGUAGACUCUGACUUUGCAUACCCGAUACAACCAAAGACUCGUAGGUGUUCAACAUUUGGUUUUUUUUCUUUAAAGACUUCAUACGUUGUUUGAUUUUCAAGAGUUCGUGUUGCUACUCGAUUGAUCAAGUACGUGGCAUGUCUUACAGCUUCUCCCCAAAGAUAGUUUGACAUAGACAUAUGUUUUAAAAUGCUUCGCGUCAUUUCCAUCAAUGUUCUGUUCCGUCUCUCUACCACUCCGUUCUGUUGCGGUGAAUAUGGUGCUGUCAAAUGCCUUUUAACUCCGGUGCUGUCACAAAACUUUUGAAACUCGAUAGAUGUGAAUUCUCCACCCCUGUCCGUACGAAAUGUCUUGAUAGAGUUCCCGGUUUCUUGUUCUACUAAUGCUUUGAAUCCUUUAAAUCUUUCAAAGGCAUCACUCUUCUCUUUCAAGAGUAGCGUCCACAUGUACCGAGAAUGGUCAUCUAUUAGUACAAAUAUGUACUUGUUCUUGGCAGCCGUAGAAGGUGUGAUUGGUCCACAAAGAUCACCGUGAAUAAGCUCUAGUGUGGUGGUUGCACGAUAUGAUGUAGCUUGAGGAAAAGUUUUCCUUAUUUGUUUCCCAAGUAAGCAUGAUGAACAAGUUUCCUUUUCAACAUUAAAGAUUGGCAUUCCAGUGACUAGCUCCUUUUUAACCAUUGUCUUCAUAGUUUCAAGUCCAACAUGACCAAGUCUUGCAUGCCACUUUGCUGAAUCAUUUGAUGUCAUGAGUUGUAGGCAUCUCGUAUUUUCUACUUCCAUGAGCACCUUGUAGAGACGAUUCUUUGACCUGCUUGCUCUUACCAACAACUUUCCAUCACGAUCAUACAAAACUAGACCUUCUCCUUUCAUUUUAACUUCGCAACCCGCUUCUGUGGCUUGACCAAGAGAGAUAAUGUUACUUCGCAAAUCUGGUAUAUAGUAGACAUCGGCCAGAACUUUUCGUUCACCAUCUUUGCUCACAAAAAGAAUCGAUCCCUUCCCCUUUAUAUCAAUACGGGAAUCAUCUCCGAAUCUCACCUUUCCCGUAAUUGUCUCAUCAAUCCUUGAAAAAUACUCUCGGUUCCCGGACAUAUGGUUACUUGCUCCAUUGUCUAAGUACCAUACGUUGUUUGAAUCCGUUUGUGCUUCAAAAUCACUAGUCUUUAUGUUCUGCUCAUUGAGAUAUACGACCUCAUGCACCAUCAACUUGUCAGCCUCAUGUGUUUCAUCUCCGUCAUUCUCAUAUGCUUCUUGAAGUUUAAGCAGCCUGUCUGGACAGUUUGACGCGUAGUGUCCAGUCUUAUCGCAUCUAUAGCAUAUGACCUUUGAUUUAUCUCUCCCUUGCUGGUUCUGAUAGUUUCCGUAGCGACCACGUCCUCUUCCUCCUUGAAUGAAACGACCUCCUUGACCUCUUCCUCUUCCUGACCCGUAGCUUCCUUGGUAGGUUUGUGAAUCUGAAUUAACAUACAUAAGUUUCCCUUGAUCUUCUUGUUGAUUUUCUUCUUCAUCACAAAUCCUCUCCUCAUAGGUUUUCAUCCUACCUACGAUGUCUUCAAAGCUGGUUUUAUUGAGAUCAAGUACUUGUUCUAACGCCGCAAUGAUGUGUAUAUACCUCUUUCUUGGUAAACUGUUGAUAAAUUUCUUUACAAGUUUGGUAGUUUCAAUAGUUACUCCCAAAGAUGCAGAUUUAGUGGCUAUCUCAGAAAGUUUACCAGCAAAACCAUCAAUAGUAUCAGCGUCUUUCAUCUUUAUUCUUUCAAAUUCAGACAUUAGAGUUUGCAGUCUCGCUUCUUUAACCCUCUCAGCUCCGAUAUUUCGUGAAUUUAUUGAAUCCCAAACCUUCUUUGCGUUAUCCUGGUCUCCAACUUGCAAGAUAAGCGCCUCCGGUAUAGAUUGGAAUAACAAAGCCCUAGCUAUGUCAUGUUUCUCUUCAUCGUUGGUUCCUGGAUCGAUGGUCUCCCAGACUUUAUGUACCUUGAGCGUUGCUCGCAUCCUCAUAACCCACGCGGUGUAGUUUGUAUCAUUAAGCAUAGGACAUUUAAUCGAAGAGGAGGAACCGCCUUCCUUGCCCUUCACGGCGACGAUAUCUCCCAUCCGUUUGUCUUAUGAAAACAAUACUUCUCUUAGGUUUACCUUCCUUGAAAUCUCGAAAUCAAAACACUUAAUUCAAUAGGUUUAGAGCUCUGAUACCAAUUAUUGAAUUAAAGCUUUGAUCAAGAACACAAAAUCUCAAGAAUAACUCUCUCUUUAUUAAGCUUUAGAAAUUACUCAAACUAAAACUCAAUCUCAUAAGUUGUAUCACACCUUGAUACCUCCUUAUAUAACAAAAGCUAUUGACCUAAUCCUAACUCAAUUAGGAAUUGUAUUAGAUAACUCCUAAUACAUAUAUUCUAGAUAACUCCUAGAAUAUUUAGCUUUAUCUCUUUUAUAUUUUAGUAACUUAUUUCAAGUUUAUCUCAACACCAUACUCCAAUAUUACAUGAAGCCUUUCCAAACGUCAUCGUUUAAACCCUUUGGCAGCUUCUUCCCUUCUAUCCACUUUUGCUUCCACUCGUAAAAAUUGUCUCUGUAUAAGAGGUCGUCGCUUGGCUUAAGAACUCGGCACAUAAAAGAUUUAUAUGUUGCGACUUCCAAUUGAAAUCUUGCUAUGGAAUUAAAAAAAAAAAACAUAUCUUAGACAAGGUCUCUAAUUAAAAGUAAUUUUAAUGAAAAAUAAAAUAAAAUGUCUACUUACCGAAAAGGAUUUGAACCAUAUCUCUUUGUCACACCCGUGUCCCUCAACAUUGAGAUGACGUGCGUUCACUUUACUUUUCUUUUCCUGUAUUCCACUUUCUUAAUUUAUCAUGUCGUAUUUUUCCGAAAUCACUUUUUUUUUUACUAAAAACUCAAUAUAAACCUGUCUUAUAAAAAUAAUCUUAAAUCGUUUAAAACCGUUGAAUAAAACGUAUAAAAAAACAACAAUAAAAGCCAAUAACCCGAGGUUCCCGAAAUACACCACAAGAGAGACGGACUUGUGCGACUACUCACAAUUCUCACCCUGAUCUGGAGAAAAAAAGAAAAAAAUGGUGAGUAAAGAAUUACUCAGUGAGAGGAUCUUUUCCGCCUACUGGAAAUACGAUACACGAUACUACCUUUACACAACAAUCAACAAUCACAUAGAAAAAGACACAACACUCAUAUAGUUUGCAUCACUAUGCAAACCUAUAACACAAAACUCAUUCUCGCCCUUAGCGAGAUCUCCACAUUAAUUUCUGGUUCGAUCAUCUCCCCUAAACUUUUAACCUAUCUAGUUCCAGUGGACUCGUCAGUCUAUUAUUGAGCUACAAAGAACCCGUCAAUUCAAUGUUGACUAUUUUCCACUUUUCCACUGUUCAUCAUCUCAAAAGAUGGUAAUUUCACUUUCUCAUAUAACACAUAUACUAACUUGUCAUCACAAUGACAUUAACUCAAUCAUCCUAUAUCACUAAAACAAUCAUCAUAUCAUCAAUCCUAAUUAACAAGUCAUUACUACUAAGCAAACAUAUCUAAUCCUAUGCAAGUGAAUCAUGAAGCAUAAAAUAGAAACUUGUAAUCGUAUAUCCGCAGAUCACACCCUCACCUGACUUUGGAAUGGAAGACAAAGGUUGAUAACGCCUAAACAAGAUCUGAAACUUGCAGCAUAAGAAACAGCAAAGAGGACAAAUUAGGGUUUUUGCAGUUUUGGCAGAACAGUUGAUUCUUGCUCAACAAGCAAUCCUUGUGGCAGCUAAGGCUAACCUUUUCCGGUGACCUUGAAGGCUCCGACUGCUUCCAUGACACUUUCUCUAUCCUUAUCCACCGUCGGCUUGCCCUCCACGGAUCCGAGAUGACCGGAAUCUGGUCUCCAAAAGCCCAACUUGAAUCUCGUAACGACGAGCCGUUGGUUGCUGUGUCUUCCUUGCAGUGAGAUCUAUCCAAUGAUACCAACCUCAGGAUCUGAUUCCUUCAGAUCUAACGGGAAAAUUCUCUCUCACUCGGGGUUGUCUCUUCCUCUUUCUCGCAAACGUACAAACCACCACAACAUCAGCAACAACAGAAGCUUACAAACUCAACAACUAGGAGGUGGCUGACUUAGAUUAGGGCUUACGAUCAAGACGUGACGGUGGCUUGAGUUGCUGCGACAAAGAGAGAGAUAUAUAUAUACUCCUAUAGUAUAUACACGACACUUGACAGACUCAUCUACUUCUAUGGCAAUAAGCAUAUGAUAAUUGUAUAUAAUUAACAUAAACUUGCAUUUGUAAACAUGUGAUAAACAUGUAUUAAUUACAAGCCUUACAUACUCACUAAACACCUUAAUGAUCUAUUCUCGACUUCUCGUAGGUUUUCCCACCAAAUUAUUAUGAUUACACUAGAUGAUUACCCACGGUAAGCGUGGGUUUGUUUUAAAAAUUGUUAAGAACAAAUUAUGUUGAUUGUUCUUGUUGAUAAUUUUUGUUUACUUUUUUAUUUCUUAUUGUAAACAAAAUUAAAUUCAUCUUAUAUAGUUACAAUUUCUAUGAUUAGAUUCAUUUUUGACGUGAAAUAUUAAUUUAUAUAUCUUUAUAUAUAAAUAUAAUUAUUUAUAUUUUUAAGAUCCUAAUAUUGUUUCACCAAUAUCAUGCAUAAAUACAACAAAAAUAUAGGAUAUUUUGUACAAUUAUAUGUAAUUAUGUUAUUUGUGUGAUUUAAAACUCGACUAACAUGAUUAUAAAUACAAUUUCUUGUUCAGUGUACUCUCCUGAUCUAGUACUCCAAUCACAUCGCGAUAGACUCAUUAUUUUUUUUUUUUUUUUUUGAAUACAAUAGACUCAUUAUUAGAUAUUGGAUAGACAUAAAUUGAACAAGAUCUCAGGAGUUUUCAUAUGAAAAUAAGAAAAAGAAAGCAAAAACUAAAUUGUCAUUUAAGUCAACACUUUUAGAUCUUCUACCAUUGCAUAUAACCAUAUAAGAGAAAAGUCAUGUUUUGAAUUCUUUGGUAUAUCUAACAUCUCAAAGGUGCAUCACUUAAAAAAAUUUGCAUGUCAAUAUUACUAACUUACCACUAAAAAAACAAAAGAGAAAGUCAUAUGAUGAAUCAUAUAUGAACAACAAAAUGUAAUAACGAGAAAGACUCAAGGUAAAAUUACGAAACUAAUAAGAGUUUAGGUAGCAAACAACUAAAUUACAACAAAAAUAAAGUGGUGACCAUUGAUAAAAUUUUUUUUAGUAAAAUAAGAGUAUAAAAAAAGUAGUGUUUUUUAUUAACAUAAUUUUGUUUUUUAAAAAAAAAAAUAAAUCACUUAAGAGUAGAAUUGAUGGAAAAUUUUUUCUCAUUUAAUUUAGCUAAUUUAUUUUUAAAAUAAUGUAGCAUGACACAUAUCAUUUUUUGGUGUGAUGAUGUGGUACUCAUAUGGAGAGAGUUGACCAACUUUCAUAUAUAUGAUUCACGUCCGAGAUUUUUAAACCACACUUCCUUUCCUAAAUGACUCUCAGAAACAGAGUCCAAACAUACGUGUUCAUAAUAAUUUGGAUCAACGUGAAAGUGUUGGGGUUGUAUUCAGUACGUACUUUUAACUCAAAUAUCUUGGGAUUUAAAUUUAGUCGCCAAAAAAUGUUCUUGCAUGAAAUUAUCAGCUGAGUGAUUGUUGGGAAAGAAUUAGAAGGUGAUCACGAAGAUAAGAUUGACACAUUUAAUUCCUACUAGUAUAAUAAUUCCAUGGUUGAGAGGCUAAUCUAAUUUUCUAUGAUGUAUCUAGCAUUUUCCAAGUUGGAGACCGAUCAUAUAAAUUCAUCCCAUAUAAUGUGAUACUGAAUUAUUAAUUAGUAGAAAAAUGCAGAAGAAAAAAAACCUUCAUAUUCUUCCAAUCUUCUCCGCAGGGGCCAAAGAGUAUAUCACGCCCACCUUUCAUAAAUAUUUCAAUAGCUUUCGAUGUCUGCCGGUUUGCAAAUGAAAGAUAAUCCAUUGAUUUCUGAGUUGUGUUUAAAAUUAUAUUAUUAAAAAUAAACAUAAAUACUAUGUACUCUUUAAAUAUAAUUUCAUAGUAAAACUAAUACUAUGAAAUUUUUAUUAGUAAUAAUAAUAUAUUUCAACUUUUAACAUAAACAAAAUUUAAAAUGAUCAUAAUUCAAAUUGUUGAAUGUGUUAAUGAGUUUUAGAAUGGAAGUCAAAUUUAAAUACAUGGUAGAGUAAUUUUUUUUCACGUAAUUGUGUUUCUAAAAUUUUAAAGAGAAAAAUAAAUUUUAAAUUGAAACAUUAAUUUAUAAGAGUAUACUACAAGAUUUUUUCUUUAUUAUUAAAUGUUCACUUAAGAAAAAAUUUCUAAAGUCAACUUAAAAAUCUAAGACAAAGACAUUGAAAGAGUCAGAUCAUGUGAAACUAUUGAAAUAAAUCGAUGACAAGAAAAAUAUAGAGACAAAUCAUGAAAUUUCAAAAACGAUAUUUGGUUAUAUUUUUCAUGAGUUGUAUAACAAAAUAUACGUAAAGUGAUAUGUAAGUUGUUAACAAAAAAAGUGAUAUGUAAAUUAUGUAACAUAUAUUUCAAGUGGACCUAUAACUCUAUAACCUAAUCAAAUAGAAAAACACAUUUGAGAGUUUAUCAUUUAAAUUAAAUAUUUUUAACCCAAAAAAUUGGUGAAAACAACAUAUUUAAAGUAUUUUAUGUUUUUAUUUGACAAGAGGAUGUUAAGGUUGCAUCACAAGAUUAAUCACUCAAAAUAACAAAAACGGUAAGCCAAAUAGUUGUUUAAAUCACAAAAAUGGUAGGCUAAAGAGUGGUCUGAAAUCUCAAUGACACUAUUACAGAUGAAGAUAAAUAACCUUAUUUAAGUGUUGGAUGUGUAAGUGUUUUGAAAAAAAAAAAAAUAAUAUUUUCAUACUAACUUUUUUAAGUGUAUUUAAACAUUAGAUUAUGCAAUCUUUAAAAAUCAAAUUGUUUAAAAAUAUCAAAUAUACAUUUUUUAUAUAGAUAUUAGUCAAAUUUUUAACAUUUAGAGUUAUCUUCAACUCUUAUAAUUAUAAAAAUUUGAUUUUAUAUAAACAUAAUAUAUUACUAAACCCACGCAACAUGGGUCAUUUUUAGUAAAUGUCAAAGGCACAUAGAGAAGAGAUGUAAGAAAAAAAGAAUAACUAAAAAAAAGUUUUUGUCAAUAAUCAAUAGACAUUAAAUAUCAACAGCUUCAUAGAUCAUUAUGCUUCUACAUCCUAUUUUCUACGGUAGUCCUCUUCUUUUUCACAUACAUUACUUCAACAGUGAAAACUAAAAAGGUGAAGAAUGUCAACUAUCUCCAUAUGAGUGACACGUCAACUACAUGUGCACUCAAUAAUUAAUGUAAACUUUAUAUCUUCUAUUCUAAAUAUUAAUGGUGUAUUUAUUAUUAUUUUUUUAAAAAUAAUAAUAAUAAUAAUAAAUAAAUAUAUAUAUAUAUAUAUAUAUAUUUAAUUUUUCUAAUGCUAACUUUAUUUUAUAAUAAUUAUUAUAUAUAUAUAUAUAUAUUUUUUAGUGAAAUUAGUUUACUGAUUUGUUUAUUCGUUUUGGUUUUCUUUGCUAACUUUUUGGAGUUUUAACUCAAAAUAUGAGUAUAUAAUAAGUAUAAUGGGUUAGUUAAUAGUUUGAAUAUGUUAUUCUCUUUAAUCUCAUCUAUAUAAUAUAUCACAAAGGGUGAGAUAGAGUGUAAAUGAAACUUCUCUCUACUAUCCUGGUUGUUCUCUUUGCCAAGUGCAGAAAGUCCAACCUAACAUAAAGUAAAGUGUUACUACUCAUUUAUGUUGCAAAUUUCGGCUUCACAAAUUACAACAUACCGCAUGCUCGAUCUUAAUCUAUCUGAAAAGAAACACAAAUACUCGAUCUAAUCAAUUAAAAUUCUGGUUAUAUAUGUGAAGUCUUGUGGUUAAUACCGUAUGCCUUGAAAGCCGGUUGGAUGAAACUGGUGAUCAACUUUAAAUAUGACAAAAUAAUUUACCCAUUGAAUAAUAAAACACAUUUAUUCCAUUUAAUUUUAAUAAAACUAUCGCAAAAUAAUUAACUACAAAUAAAUGUCAAAAGCACAUAUAGAAGAGAUAUAAGAAAAAAAAAAUAUUUGUCAAUAAUCAAUAGACUUUGGCUUUGAAUGGAGAAUAGUUAAUUGAAGGUCGAACGUGGGUCAAGGAUGAUGCAGCGAGAUAUUUCUAUUAUUAUCAUAUUUUAAUUAAUUAAUAAUUACUGUUCUAGAAUAUUCUAUGUUUUAGGGUUUUCGGUUUUAUUAUAAAUAGCCUUGUUAGGCCUCCUAUUGUAUUUGGUUCUUUUUAAUUAAUAUAUUAAAGAGCUUUUGAUAAGCACUGAGAAGAGUAUUCUGAAACGAAGUCUAAAUCUUUGUUUAUCGUAAAUCAAUUGAUCUCCGAUAACACUAGAAUUCCGAGCUACGAUUGUUCUGCUUGAGAUCCAUUGAUACUCAAUAUUACUUUCGUAAUUUGCCCCUAGAAGCUUCCGCUACGUCAAAGGAGAAACAUUUUUAUGUUGUCAUUUACCAUUUUAUUUUAUUAGAAAGUAAUUCAAUUGUAAAAAUAAUAAAUAUUGGACGAACCAAUGAUGGUUCAAUAAUGUGAACAAAAAACAUGAUCUUCUAACUAAAGUAGUAAUAUAGUAAAUAAUGGUUGUAUCAACUUUGUUUCUUUUGUGGUAAGAUUUUUUAAUACGAAUAUACAUUGUUUUCUUUUUUCUUUUGAUCAUUUUAAUUUAACUAAAGUUUACAUGAUAACAUAAUAAUGUAAAUCAAACACUCGAUAGAAUUUUAUUUAUUUAAAACUAUUUUCUUUUUAAUGUUUUACAUAUGUAUAAUAAUAAAUAUAUUUGUUGCAUUUAUAGAUUAUAGUAAGAAUAUGUUAAACCAAUAUUGUAAAUUUAUUUUAAUAUAAUUAUUUUUAUUAUGUAUAGCUUAAUUAAAAUAUUUUAUUUGAAAUUAACUUCUUUUAUAAUAUAAUAUUUUACCCGUAUUUUCUUAUCCGCUUUCACCAUUCAAUACAUAUUUUAAAGCGUUUCUUGAUCCGUACUUGUACUGCCAAAUCUAUUUGAUUUACUUAUAUUAGGUUUGAUAUGUUUGAUCCGCUCCGUCCGAUAAGCUUUCUCCGAUUAACGGUGCAAUUUCUGGGGAACAUUAAAUCGUAUAGCGAUUUGCGGGUUCAGUCUAGAUUUGUUUUGUUCAGAUAAAAAAAUUAAAAUUCUAUGUUAGUUCAUGUGGGUUUACGCACUAGACAAAAUUCUGAAGAUGAAUUAGCCAAAACAAUUUAGUUUGUGGGGGAAUAGGCUGUUUUCUCUCAAAACGCAGUCGUUUAAAUCGAUGAUGUGGCAUCCUAGUCAGUUGUUUGUUAACGGAACAAUAACGGCGUUUAACGAUUUGUGGGUUUAGUCCGGAUUUAUUUUGUUCAUGUAGGAAAUUCAAACUCUAUAUUAGUUCAUGUGGGUUUAAGCACAAGACAAAGUUUCAAGGAUUUUCCUUUCACUUGAUGAUCAGAAAUAUAUAAGAUUUAUAUAUAAAAUAGUUUCCCUUCACUUGAUGCUCAGAAAUAUAUAAUAUUUAUAUAUAAAAUAGUAAAAUUAUAAUUUAUGCAUGUAAUUAGCUAUAUAUAUCGGGGAAGAGCAGAUAUCUCCAAAUGGAAAUUGUAGGUAUUUGUGAUUUGCUUCGUUUUUGAUGAAUAUCAAUUUUUAGUACUUGAUUUGCUUUGUAAAAUGACGAAUAUCCGGAUUUUACGAUUCGAAUAACGAAUUAAAUGGAAUCUAGAUGUAUAAAUUGUCCAUCCUUAAUAAAUACUAUUAUUAUGCAUGAAAAACGAUUGUGUCAAUUUGGUACUUGAAUAAUAUUAAAGAUUUUUUUUUAUGAGCAAAGAAUAAUAAUAAAGAUAAUUAUUUACACUUCUCAAGAAAAGACAAAAAGUUUCGUACAGAUGAUGAUGGGCCAAUAUCUUAUAUUACAGAUUAAAAAAAAGCAAAGAACAAAAAAUAAUAGGCCCAAGUCUUUAGGUCCACCACUUUAGUAGUCGUAGCCGACAUAUAAAACAUGGAAACAAAAGAGAAACCCUAAAUUCUUCUCGAGAGCCGACUUUUUCUAGAUCUAAGUCCGCGUCGCCGCAAAAAAAUGAGAUUUGAUGAUGCUGGAGUUCCCCAAGUCCGCGUAAAUAUGAGGCUUCUCACUCCCUUUCAAGUUAUCCAGCAGAUCGUGGCCGACGUUGAGGAUGUGUUUGUCGAUUUAGAUCUUGACCAUGAUGGGAGAUUGGAUGUAGAAGAUACGUUCAAGGCCAUUUUUGGGCUACGAUACUCGUUCAAUGGGGAGCAGGCUUCCCAGCUGAUAGCAGAGAUGGAUGAAGACGGCGACGGUUUUGUGACGCUGAAGGAAUUGAAGCGGAGGUUUUCACCGCCCUAUGGGUCAUCGGCUAUAUGGUCGGCAUUUGUUCAUGCAAGGUCAAACAACAAUGAGGAGCUUUCUUUGUCUGAGCUCCACAAGGCUCUUAAUUUAAAAUCUUUUAUAUAUAUAUAUAUAAACUUUUCAGCAUAAAAUAUAAUCAUUAAAAUUUAAAAGAUAAAUAUUUGAGAAUAAAUAUAAUAGGCGAUAUAUAACAUAUAUACCGCCGACGAUAAUAUUUCCUUAACAGAUAAAUGGUUUGAUAUAUAUCACGUGGUAACAAAAAUCACUUAAGAAAUUCACGAGAAGAAUAAACGGCAUCGAGGACCAUCUAAUGAUCAUUUAUCUUAUCUUUAAAAGAGUGUUUUUUUUUUGCCAAUAAAAAAGAGUUUUUUUUCUUAUUCAUAUUCCAUGAAGACAUUUCUUUAAAAUUUUUGACGUUAAUUAUCGAUUGUUGUCCUAAUUGUAGAUAUUAUUUAUGAUUAAAUGUUGAUCGAACAUAACAUCAUUCCAUAUAAAAUGUGAAUAUACCGAGUUUCAUGAACAUUAUUUAGUCUAAAGAUACAUCUAUAAUACCAUGUUGAUAGAACAACUUUAGCGAAUUUGUUUUACCCAUCAAAGCAAGUGCAGCGAGCAAUAAGAUAAUUCUCGAUUAAGUCUCAACGUGUCUAUCUUAUCUCACUUUCCAUGAUUAUAUGGUCAAACGAUAAAGCCCAACUUUGAAUAUAAUAAUCUGUUUAAUAAUGUAUGUCAUGUAUUUCUCUAACAACUCAUUCGUUUCACACAAUGAAUGAGAUCUCAAGGAUUUUACCUUAGUCAUGUGCAUUAUCUUUCUAAGUUUUAGAAAUUUACUUUCACACAGUUUUUUCACUACCAAUUUGUUCGUCAUCUAAUAUGACAAACUCGUUGCCUCUCGACAUCUAUUUUUUUUUUCACCUUCUAUUAAUUUAUAAUAUAUAUUGUAGUGUGAAUUGAUUUUCAAGAAAUAUCAUAACUAUUUUCUCCUCAAUUUUUUGGGUUAAAAGCAUUUCAUUCAAUUGAUGAAAUAACAAACUUCUUUUUCUUUUUGAUCAUGUUAUAAAGUUGUAGUUUCACUUAAGAAUAUGCUACACAAAUUACAUAUCAUUUUCUUUUUUACGGCUUACAUAUCAUUGUUUAUAUAUUUUGUUGUAGAAAUCAUGAAUAAUGUGAUCAUUGAUUAUUUAUUCUUAUAAAGAUGGAUGAUAAUGUUUUAAUUUUCUUAAGAUUUUUUAUGUAAUUUCACAAGAUAAAGUGUGACUCUUACAAUAUUUUUGUCUUAAAUUAUAAAUUUAAAUUGAAUUUAAUAAAUUUUUUUAAAGUAAAAAUUUAAUAAGAAAUUACAAUAUGUAGUCAACUGUUCUUAAAAACUAAAUUUUUGCUUUAAAUUUUUUAUUUUCUUGUUUAAAAUCUUACAUAUAGAAUUACAUAAACUUAGUUUUAUUCUACUAUGUAUUUAAAUUUACUUCCAUUCUAAAACUCAUUAACAAAUUUAAAAAUUUGAAGUAUGACCAUUUUUUAAUUUUUAUCUGUUAAAAGUUAAAUUAUAUUAUUACUACUAAUAAAAUUUUUAUUGUAUUCUUUUUAUUAUUUUAUAUUUUACAUAAACUAUGUAUUUAAAUUUACUUUGAUUCUAAAACUCAUUAACAUAUUUAAAAAUUUGAAGUAUGACCAUUUUUAAUUUUUAUCUGUUAAAAGUUGAGUUAUAUUAUUACUACUAAUAAAAUUUUUAUUGUAUUCUUUUUAUUAUUUUAUAUUUUACAUAAUUCGUUUUUUAUUAAUUAUUUUUUUAUUAAUUAUAAGUAACAUAAAUAGGCACCAAAUUAAUGUUUUAAAUUUAUUUUAAUGUAAAAUAAAUAGAGUUGCUUAUGUGGAUGAUAAUGUGGAUAGUCUAAAUGGAGAGAGGACUCUCCCAUUAUAUAUAUAGAUUAUAGUUACAGUAUUAUUGUAAAAAGUAUGUAUGUGGAGAGAUACAUAUUUGCUACAAUAUACUAUAGGUUAAGGCCUUAAGGGUAGGUUUAAUGUGGCAAUUAUGUACGUUUGACAAUCUUGUGAGUAAUAAGAAGAUUCCGACAAAUUACUUUAUUCUUCUUUGUCGUCACACAUUUGUAAGUUGUAACAUAUAUAUUUAUUGUGAUCUUUGCCACAUAUCUGAAUCAUAAUUAUUUGAAAUUUUUCUUUUGUUCUGUCUCUAUAUUAAUCAGAAUUCGUCAUAUAAAAAAAUAUUAAACUUAUUUAAUUAUUAAAUCUAUUCUCUAACCACUCUUUUAUAAACCCAAACCGAUAUAUAAUCUCGUUUAUUUACAAAAUCUAAACCCUAAUUUUCCUUUGUAAACCCAAAUCGCCAUUUAAACUCGUUUAAUCGUGUGGCGGUUUUGCGGUCAACAUUGGGCUUUGCUCAGCACCUCUAGCUGAGUUAUGGGGGGUCUACUAUGGCUUAUUUAUAGCUUAGGAGAGAGGAGCUAGACGGAUCGAGCUGGAGGUGGAUUCGGAGAUAGUUGUUGGAUUUCUUAAGAAAAGGAUUGAUGAUACUCAUCCGCUGUCAUUCCUAGUACGUUUAUGCUAUGGCUUCAUCACGAAGGACUGGAUUGUCCGUAUUUCGCAUGUGUAUAGGGAGGCUAAUCGUCUUGUAGAUGGAUUAGCUAACUAUGCGUUCUCUUUACCGUUGGGAUUCCAUAUGUUGGAAUUUGCACCAGAGAGUGUUAGUUCGAUUUUGUUUGAGGAUUCUAUAUGACUAUCGCAUCCGCGAAAUGUCCGUUUGUAGUUUGUAUUUUCUUUUUUAAUAAUAUGGGAGGCCAUGCCUCCCUCUUCCUUACCAAAAAAAAACUCGUUUAACCGUAAAAAAUCUAAACCCUAAUCGUACUUUCUAAACCCAAACCGACAUUUAACCUCGUUCAAUUGUAAAAUUUAAAUCCGUUUAUAAACCCAAACCGAUAUUUAACCUCGUUUAAUAAUAAAAUCUAAACUCUAAUCGUACUUUCUAAACCCAAACCAACAUUUAACCUCGUUCAAUUUUAAAAUUUAAAAUCCGUUUAUAAACUCAAACCGAUAUUUAACCUUUUUUUAAUCAUAAAUAUAAACUCUAAUCGUACUUUCUAGAUCCAAACCGAUACUCAACCUCGUUUAAUCAUAAAAUCUAAACUCUAAUCGUACUUUCUAAAUCCAAACCGAUAUUUAACCUCAUUUAAUUGUAUAAACUAAAUCCGUUUAUAAACCCAAACCGAUGUUUAAUCUUGUUUAAUCAUAAAAUCUAAACCCUAACCCUUUCUAAUAAACCCAAACCGAUACAUAAUUUCGUUUUAGUGGCAAAUUAGGUUUUAUAAUUAAAUGAAUUUUUUAUUAUUAUUAUUAGGUGACAGAUUCUGAUUGGUUGAAGUAAACAGGGGUGAAUAUAGGGGUGAACCCAAGUAUUUUUCGGAAAACAUACAGCCUUGACGAAAUGACCAUACAAGACUCCAAGUAUUAGUAAUAGACCUUCCAAUAUAAACAAAGGAUCCUCAAAUACAUGAUCAAAUUAAUGUUUUCACCACAAAAAGCAUCAAAAAUUAAAUGAUACUAAUUAAACUUUUUUAUUUAUAAACGAUAGAAAAAUUUAAAUUUAACAUUCAAUUUCAGUAAUUUAUGCUAUUAUUGAUAAAUCUGCAUGAGUUCAUUAAAAUUGAUGCAAAUCUAUAUCCAUUUGCAUCAUUUUCACAAAAUUGAUAAAAAAAUAUAUGAAUUUCAUCAUUUUUAAAAUAAUAAAAAAUUUAAAUCAAUAUCAACCGAUGCUAAUUAUAUAUUAAAAAUCGGUUGUAAACACUGAAGUAAAGGGAAUGCAUCAACAAAGUGCGUACAUACUUGGCUAGAAAACUUGUCAAAAAAAUGAAAAAGACCUUGAAAUUUAAAUUUUACCUUUUAAGAGUUUAUUAACUUAUCUUUUGACAAAUUAUAAAAAGAAUAUAUGUUAAAGUUAAAAGUAUUUCAAAAAGAAUUCGAACUUUAAAGUUUUUAAAAAGGUUUUAUUUUCUGUUAUUUCGUUCUAUAAAAAUAUUCAAAUAUAUUCAAGAAUUACUUGUGUCAUAUAUCAAAUAAAAUUUUAAUUUUUUGUUAAUUUUCUCAUUCCUAGAUGUUCAAACAAUCUAACAAUGCUAAUCCUUAGGCCUUAGACAGACUCAUCUACUUAAUUCUAUGGCAAUAAGUAUAUGAUAAUUAUACAUAAUUAACAUAAACCUGCAUUUGUAAACAUGUGAUAAGCAUGUAUUAAUUACAAGCCUUACAUACCCACUAAACACCUUAAUGAUCUAUUCUCGACUUCUCGUAGGCUUUCCCACCAAAUUAUAAUGACUGUAUUCAUGUCUAGGAUUUUCAAACCACACUUCCACUCCUAAAUGAUUCUCAUAAACAGAGUCCAAACAUAGUUGUUCAUAAUAAUUUAGAUGAACGUGAAAGUGUUGGGGUUGUAUUCAGUCCUUUUAACCCAAGUAUCUUGGGACUUGCCUCCUUAGAAUUUUUUUAUCCGAAGGAAAUCUUCGGGCGUUGUCUCAUUCAUUGAUGACACUGAUGACCCUGUAGCAUAUAAAAGGUUCAGGCCGACCAGAUUGUCAAAACUGUCUUUUUUUUUAUGGUCAAUCUCUAAUAAUCAAGUUUAUGUGCUAGUAUCGAGCAAGAUUUGAUUAGAUCUCCUUUAAUUCUAUUACAACUAGAUUUCUAUAACAAAACCAACUCAAUUUAAAGAAAAACAUAGCUGCUCUCCAAGAUUGUGAUUAUCAUAUUUUUGCCCAAAAUUCUCUUGAUGAUUUUAACAACUCAUGUCUUAUAUUCUUACCAAUCCCUCUUGCUCUUUGUCAUUGUUCUCAUAUAAAUAAUAUAUUAAAUCAAAAUUCUAGAAACGAGUAACUCAAGUCCUCCCCUUAAACUUUUAAAAAUUUAAUAUAUGUAAUCGUAAAACAUUUUUAAUAUAUUUUAUGUUAUAUUUUGGUUAUUAAAGUAUAUUUUCUGGAAGUAAGUGUUAAAAUUGCAAAAAAAAUAACAAGUGGUUGAUUGUUUUUUAUGGAAAACAUUUUUAUUUUCUAUAAAUGAGUGAUUGAUUUGUUUAGUUCAAGGUUUUAUUUUUGUCGUGCAAAUUUCUCUUCAUAAAAUCUUUUUCUAUAUAUUUUUUUCAUAAAUUUUGUUUUAUACAAAACCUUCAAUAUUUCUAAAUUAUUAAAAUUUUGAAAAUAGAAUCUUCUAUCCCUUUUUCCCCAACGCUCUUUCAGUAAUCUCAGUCCCAAACACUCUGUACCGGUGAUUGAGAAGAUUUUUGGCUUCUGUGGCGAUGUGAAGAGUUAUUUUAUGUUUCGUAAAAAUUUGGCUUUUUUGGAAUAUUCUAGUGAAGAAGAAGCUCUAGCUGCUAGGGUUUAUGAUAGCAUUCGAUCUUAUGAUAGAUUUCUGAGAGUGGAGAUUGCCAAAUAUCCUCCUCGGAAACCAUCAGAUCAUGCUGCAUUUGCUACUGUGGUCAAGCUUGGACGUGAAAGAGCUCAAGAGUUGAUUGUUGGAUUUAUGAAUCCAGAGACCAAGACCCGUUCAAGGAGUAGUAUGAUUGUAAAGAGAAAAUCUGGACCAGAGAAUUGAAGACAUGGACGAGAUAGAUCAGCUAGAAGUGUAAACCCCAUAAAGUGAAAAUAUGGACGAGAGAAUUCAAGACAUGGAAUUUUGCUUAAAUCUAUAUCCAUUUACAUCACUUUCACAAAAUUGAUAAAAAUAUAUGAAUUUCAUCAUUUUUAAAAUAAUACAAAAUUUAAAUCAAUAACAACCGAUGCUAAUUAAAUAUUAAUAAUCGGUUGUAAAAAGUGAAGUAAAGGGAAUGCAUCAACAAAGUUCGUACAUACUUGGUUAGAAAACUUGUCAAAAAAAUGAAAAGGAACUUGAAACUUAAAUUUUACCUUUUAAGAGUUUAUUAACUUAUCUUUUGACAAAUUAUAAACGAAUAUAUGUUAAAGUUAAAAGUAUUUCAAAAAGAAUUCGAACUUUAAAGUUUUUAAAAAAUCUAACAAUCUAACAAUGCUCAAACAAUCUAACAAUGCUAAUCUUUAUGCCUUAGACAGACUCAUCUACUUCUAUGACAAUAAGCAUAUGAUAAUUGUAUAUAAUUAACAUAAAAUUGCAUUUGUAAACAUGUGAUAAGCAUGUAUUAAUUACAAGCCUUACAUACCUACUAAACACCUUAAUGAUCUAUUCUCGACAUCUCGUAGGCUUUUCCACCAAAUUAUUAUGAUUAUAUUCAUGUCUGAGAUUUUCAAACCACACUUCUACUCCUAAAUGAUUCCCAUAAACAGAGUCCAAACAUAACUGUUCAUAAUAAUUUGGAUGAACGUGAAAGUGUUGGGGUUGUAUUCAGUCCUUUCAACCCAAGUAUCUUGGGACUUGCCUCCUUAGAUUUUUUUAUCCGAAGGAAAUCUUCGGGCAUUGUCUCAAUCAUUGUUGACACUGAUGACCCUGUAGCAUAUAAAAGGUUCCGACUGACCGAUUGUCAAAACUGUCUUUUUUUUUGUGGUCAAUCUCUAAUAAUCAAGUUUAUGUGCUAGUAUCGAGCAAGAUUUGAUUAGAUCUCCUUUAAUUCUAUUACAACUAGAUUUCUAUAACAAAACCAACUCAAUUUAAAGAAAAACAUAGCUGCUCUCCAAGAUUAUCAUAUUUUUGCCCAAAAUCCUCUUGAUGAUUUCAACAACUCAUGUCUUAUAUUCUUAUAAUCCCUCUUGCUCUUUGUCAUUGUUCUCAUAUCAAUAAUAUAUUAAAAAGAAAUUUUCAAAAAAGGGACAGUUUUUUACAUUUGUCUCACCAAUUGACAAAGUGGAGAAAGGGUUUCACGAUUUGACAUUUAGCCAGAUUUGUGACGAAAAUGCCCCUCAACUAGAGACGUUACUGUGCUGGUUCGGUUUCUCUGAUUUUGUUUUAUUUGGUUUGUUAAUAUUUUUGAAUUUAAAUUUUUUUAAAAAAAAGAAGAAGAACGGCGAAGAAAGCGAAGAGAAAGAGGACGAAAAAUCAGAGUACAAACCGUUUCCAUUCUGAAAAUCUAAUAUCUCAUUUUGAUUCUUUUACUUGGAAACGACCAAAAGGGGAAAAAUUCCGGCGAAUUCCGUUUCCAUUCAUCUUUAAAUCUCUCAUUAUCUUUCCGUUUUGCCGCUACAACCAAAAGCAAAGAAAUUUCCGACGAGUAAGAUAGCGGAGUACAGAUGACGGCGAAGAAAAUGAAUCUAUUGAAGAAGAAGACUCGGCGCCGCGCGAAGGUGGCGAAAAGUUCAGAGAAGGGUGAAGCGAAUAGUUCACCGGAGAAGGGAAUCGAGAUUCCGAGUCCCCCGCCGGAGCCCGAGAGCACAAGUCAGGGUAAGUAUCUGUAAACACCGAAAUCGAAUUUAAUUGGGGAUGGGGAUUCAGGAAUCCUAAAUAUGGGGAUACUGAUUUCGAAUCGAGGAUUUAAUUUCUGGGUUUUCAAACUAAAUCGAUUUUUGCGCCAAAAUAGAAAAUUGAGAAGAUUUAUGUUCUAAUCUGUGUACGUAGCCGAAAUUGGAGUUAUAAAUUUUUCUACUUUUAAGUGAUUUUGAAAAAAAUGCGUAUAUGGCCUACUAGGGUUUAUUCGUUAUAGUGUUCGUAUGUUAAAUUAGUUAUGGAUAUUAGAAACUGACAUAUUUCUAUUACACAUAACUUGCAGGAGGCAUGGAUCCGAUUGAAGAAGGUAAUAUUGGUGAAGGAUGUGAAGAGUUACCGCCGAGGCUUUUUGCUCUGGAUAAGUACCCUACUGAAACGAAGAUCAAUGCGUAUUCCAAACCGGAGUACCUUGCUGAUAUUGCAACAGCCCUUAAAGGAACUGAAGAAAUGGCUUUUCUCCUAACUUCUCCUUUUGGGGAGCUCUUUAAUAUCCCUCCUAACAUGGUAUCAUUUUCUGGCAAGCUAGUUCUUGGCUUGAUUUGCCGUCAGUUAGUGACCAAAAAACGUUAUGAGAUGUGGAUGGUUUUUGGUGGUCAUCCACUGCGGUUUGGAUUAAGAGAAUUUUAUCGGAUAACCGGUUUGGAGUGUGGGAAGUAUCCGAAAAAAAAGCUGUGGAGAAAGUGCUAACGGUGAAAAAGGGAUGUACUUCUGUGUGGAAGACUCUAUUUGGUGCUAAGUCUCCAAUUAUUGAUGAUUUGGUCGUGAGCUUGAAGACAGAGAAAAAAAUGCCAGGAUGGAAGAGACUAGCAUUAGCGCUGAUAAUCAUUGUUGAUGGUGUUCUAAUCUGUCAGAAGCAGCGAGUCCGACCCAAUUUCAAAGACAGUUGAGAUGACGAAAGACCUUGAUUUCUUCUGCAAAUACCCAUGGGGAAGGCUUGCUUUCAACCGUACACUGGACAGGAUAGCCAGAUUCAAAUCCGCUAAAAAGAUAGAAGAUGUGAUCAUUGGUUGCAAGCAGCAGUCUUAUAUGGUCUAUGGCUUCCCACUAGCGCUGCAGCUUUUUGCCUUCCAAACUAUCCCAUCUCUUCGUAAGCUAGUUCCUUCUUCCACAGAUGUAAACUUAUUCACUUAGAGGUCAAUCAAGAAUCUGGCCAAAAUGCAUCCAAUCCGGACUUCCAGUAUCUUGGAGUGCGAAGCUGCAGAUCAGGUGUGUACGCUUUCUAAUAUACGUACAUCGGAUGAUAAAAUAAUACGUACAUUCACUAAGACGUUAAAAACAAAAUCUUAUAGGUGGAUGUCACCUAUAUUGUGGAUCCAGAGGAUACUGAUUGUCCUGAAUCUUUAGUAUGGAAUAAGGAAGUUGAGGAUCCUAGAGUUGAUUACAUUUUGAGGAAGCUGAUAGAUGGGCACAAGUGGUCCGAAAACACAUGGGUUGGAGGUCAUGAUGAAUGUCCAAAGCAGCUGCGGCCAGAAGAGAAAGGUAAGCAUAAGUACAAACGAUUUUCUCAUUUAUGAAAAUACUCCUCUAAUAUAAAAACAUAAAUAAACUCAGUUGGUGCAGUCCGGAAGAGGCAACUACGGCAAAGAGCUCCGGUUGCUAAUAAAAAACAGAAAAUUGAUGUUGAAGCUGAAGAGAAUGACAACGCUGGGGAAAGUUUAGAAGAUGAGAGGUUUGAUAAGUAUGUUAUUGAACUGAGGCGGUGUAUGAGGAGGCAAGAAACACAAAGGAACAAUCUACAUAUGGAAUUAAAAGAGUUCAUCCGUGAGGAGAUUCGUGCUGCUCUAAAUCCAAAGGGCGAAACACAAGUACAACCUGAACCUUCCAAGGUAUCAAAGAGCCCUAUUAAAAAGGUGGACAAGCCAAUGGUAAAGAAAUCCAGAAAUGUUCAAAUUAGAACAAGAAGAUCUCCUCGGCUGAAGAAUAUGAAUACUUCAGAAUACAAUGUUGAUGAUGUACCUCCACCUUCUGAGAAGGUAUGUCGUGUACGUACAUUAUGUUUGCGAAGAUAAUGUACGUACAUACAUUAUGUUUGCGAUGAUAAUGUUAUUUAUGUUACAGGAUGAAGAGAAAACUGCCCCUGAAUCUGCUAGAAAAGAAGCAGAUAUGUCUGACAAUGAAAGUGUUGGACUUUAUUAUGGUGGACCUUCUGACGAGGUAUGUCAUGUACUAGAAAUAGUCACAGAGUGUAGUACUGUACGUACAUAAACUAUAAAUAUGUUUAUUUUCUUUAUUUCAGGACGAAGUCAUAUGUGAUGGUGGUGAAUAUGACAAAGGACCGCUAGAUUCAGCUACCAAACAACAAGAUAAGUCUAACACUGAAAUGGCAGACAUUUCUGAAGAUGAUAAGGACGUGUUGCCUGACGAGGAAACCAACACUGGAGAUGAUAAGGACGUGUUGCCUGAUGAGGAACACAAAACUGGAGAUGAUGAGGACGUCUUGCCUGAGGAUGAAACCAAAACUGGAGAUGAUCAGGACAUGUUGCAUCAGGAGGAAAGCAACGUUGGAGAUGAUGAAGAAUUGUUUAAUGCUCCUAGUUCCCCAAAACGUGGAGCUGACGAAUUGGAGGUAUGAUCAAGUCAAUGUUAAACUUUGAGUGGCAGAUAAUAAUGACCUAUCCCUUAACUAAUGAGUAAUGCACCAAUUGUAGGCUUCUCCGGCUGAUGAACCUACAAUUGCUGGUCAGAGGAAUGCUGGAGGGGCUAUUGGCGUUGAUGGCAACCUUAGUUCUACGCCUUCACUGUCUUUUGUAAUCGUAUACACUGUAAGUUACUUAUAUGUUAGUACAAUAAUUUCGUUCCUCAUUAGUGUAACAGAGUAACAAAGUAAAAAUUAUGUAUUCAUCAGGUACUAAAAGAGUUGGGAACCUCUGUUGAUGUAACUGCUGGUACCAAUGUCAUCGAGGUAACUGUGUUUAUUAAAUUAACUUAUAAUUUCUAUACACAUGAUGUACGUACAUAGGCGUUAUUGCGUACAUAUAACUGAUGGUUAUGUACGUUAUUUCGAUAAGGUUGAACCAAUGGUGAAAGCAGAUAUCAUUUUGGGAGGAGAUAACAACACUAUCGUUGAUGAGGCUAAAACAACCGCAUCUGCUUCUCAAAAUCUUGUAAGUCCAUAUAUGUUAUUUACAUAUCAUGCAAUGAUUUCAAUAUAAGCUUUCUAUUUGUUUGAUUUAGUAACUCAAUCUAUUUUUCAGGAGAAAACAAAAAAUGAUUUUGAUGUGGGAGUAAGUGAGUCUCAAAAACCUGAGGAUGUUGUCCCCGUAAAAGAGAAGAAACCUGUUAAACGAAGAGUUACUUUUGAGAAUAAAGAGGAUAUAACCGCCUCUACCAUGGAAAAUCAAGUAAGUUAUAGAGGCUGUUGUUAAUAAAUUAUAUACAUAUUCCUUUAACGUUUUAAAUAUGAAUGUAAAAUAAUUUGACAUUUUUUUUUGGUGUAGGAGGAACCCAAGAAGGAUGCAGGUGUGGAAGGAAGUGAUGGUCAAAUUCCUGAUGAUUCCAAGGAUGUCGAGAUAUUAAUUGAGACGAAAGAAUCAUCAUCAAACUCUGCGUUUUUGGUCAAGGCCGGAAAUGAACCAUACAACCCAUUAGAGAAGGUGAACGAUGCAAAAUUCCAGCUUUUAACUGAUAUCAUCAAUGGACCAGAUGUGUAAGAAUAUCUAACUUUAUUAAAUAUCAUAUACUCUUUCUUUUUACUUUAAAUGCAAAUCAUGUAUUUAACUAUAUUUUGUUUGCUCCGACGUUCAGGGUCCACACAGUUUUUGGAUUACGAAAACUAGAGAACCGGUUUUUCGCCACCCUUGCAGAACCUGGUGAAUGGGUUCAAUCUAAUGUACGUAUUGUUGGUAUACGUCUACAUUUGUUGAUAUACGUACACAUGAAUUGAUAUACGUACACGUUAUAUGCUCAUUAUACGGAUAUUAUAUUUUAUACGUACACAACAUCAUAGUCGUGUUUACAUUUUCAGCACUUGGAAAUGAUCGCCCUCAUGAUGUAGCACAAGAAUGGAGAACAUAUGAGGAAAACUCGGGCAAUUGUUUUGGAUUCAUUACUCACGUACGAUCUCUCACGGCGUGCAAAUGAAUUCAGUCGGUGUAAAAAAAAGGAGAGUUUCAAAUGGGGUGACCUGCUCUACGAAAUUGCAAAUGGUGAACGCAUUAACCGUCAACCUAUGCUCAAGUGGCUAAAGGACGUUGACGUCCUUUACGUCCCUUUGAACUGGUCACAAGAGCAUUGGGUUGGUCUCAGCAUCGAACUCAAGAUGCGGCAUGUCACUAUCUAUGACCCCCUCGUAAGUAAAACCCGGGAAAUUGUUGUGAAGACUCGGAUGCAGCCCAUCCUGGCUAUGAUGCCUUAUCUAGUGAAAGCGGUAUGCAAGGACUAUGUAGGUGAGAAGUACCCUCUCCACCCUUUCACAUACUUUCGGGUGGACUGCAUUUCUCAGAACCCUCGUACCGGAGACUGCGGUCCAUUCUCGAUGAAGUUUAUGGAGCUACUGAUGCUUGGACGCCCAAUGGAAGAGUUGCAGACCAUUGAAGAGGCUGAUAUGGACAACUAUCGUAAGGGGUACGCUGUGGACAUCUUCGAGCAUGGUGUAAGGUCUCUGACCUAAUGGCCGUGUAUCUGGUGUUAUUAAUAUCGUUUACAACUUCUGUUUUAUCUAGGGUUUUGUGUUUUUUGAACAACUUUUGCCUUUGCGUGUGGGCUAUGUUAUGUUUCAAGCACUCUAAACUUCUGCCUUGCGGUGUAGGCUAUUUUAUGUUUAUAGCACUCUAAACUUAUUUUAUGUAUUUUGAACGAAUCUCAUGUUUUAAUCUAAAUAUCCAAACAUAAUAUCUAAAAUUUCAGACGUACGUACAUAUGUAUGAAAAUGAAUUUCUGUGUACGUACAGACUAAACAUAUAUGUCUACCACAAAUGUAUAUAGUAUUGGAGUAAAAAUAGUAUUCAAAAUAGAUAAGGUUACAUAUAGUUAAUUGAUUUGACAUUGUUGACGUAUUGGAACUACACUUAUUGCUAAUCUCAUUGAAUACAACUAUUAUCUUCCCAACUAAAACUUUCACCUCGCCUAUUUAAGUGGAUAAGAUUGAUGGGGAGUUCCACACCUCAAUCCAAAACAUGUCAUAUCCAAAUCUACCUGACGAUGUCCUAGCCAAGAUUGCGAAGAUCAUGGCUCACAAAUGUUGGUGGUACCUACAGCCUCUCUUAAGAUCAGGCCCUCGUGGAAGGGACAUUGUAUACCGGCCCGAUGUACUCCAAGAUGCAAAUAUUUACAGUUUGUGCAGUGAUCCCGAUGACUUCCAUGCAGCUGGUCAUGAUCCAAAUGACAUCCACACCGAAGGUCGCUAUAGACCUUUCUUCAAAAGAUGUGUAGAUGCUGGAAAUCCAAUAGCUAUCUAUCAUGAAGGACUGCGUCUUCUAACACAUGAAUCUGACAUAAAGGGAGCUAUAGUUCUAUUACAUCGCAAUGUGCCUAAUCACGCUGAUGCAACACUUGCGUGUGCGAUCCUCUCCAUAUGUGACGGUAACGCGUACAUGGGCGCUGAGUAUCUUCUAAUGUUUGAGAGAAACCAUUACUCGUUGCAGUCAGAAGAAACUCGAGACAUGUGUGAGGAGUUGCUAGAUGAGAUUAAAAAAUAUGGCCUUACAUACAACAACACUUGGUGCAACAUUUUCUUACCCUGAUUUUCGUGGAUUUAACACUCCACCUUGCGCGAUGAUGUGUUACAUCAGGUCUGGUCCCUUUAAAAAUGUGUGUAACGUUUGCUAUUUAUGGUGGUGUGCUAGAAGAAUUAGCCAACUCCUUUAAGUUUAUCUUUGAUGUUUCAUGUUAUUAUCUAUAUGCUUGUGUGCUUAAAGUUUCAUAGCAAUAUAGUACUUGUUGUUAUAAAUGUUAAUGAUUUUACACUCUUUCACAAAUAUCUAAAAUAGUUGAAAAGGGUAUUAAUUUCAUUGUAUACUACAUAUGGAAUGUAUGAGGAUUAAAGAUUUCGUCAGAUAAAAGACAAAAAAUGUCAUAUUCAAUACGUCUUGUCACAGUUUAGCUUUAAAUGUACACUCUUAGAAGGUAGAUUAUUUGUAGCAAAUUUAUCAAUUAAUAAUCUACCCUUAUUGAUUUGACCCCUUUCGUGGAUAGUUAUUAAAUACAUUUUGUCUGACUUAUAUAAUGAACAUAUUUAAUAUUUCUGAAUGCUUCUAACAAGUAGUUCCUAAUAUAGACGUACACGGUGGAGCUAUAAAUGUACACUGUUAGAAGGAGAUAGACUCAAUCAAUAAAGCACUAAAUACGUACCUAUACUUUCGUCCUAAUUUCGAAAAAUGUAUCGUUAACCAGAGCUGAUGUGACUUCACAUUGAAGUAGUUCAACUUGUUGCCUUCACAUACUUUGUUAUAACCCUAUAAAUAACUACACCCUGAAGUCUCUUUACACACAAAUCGUUCAAACUCAAAACCGAUAUAAUAUUAAAAAAAAAUGCCUCUCCCAACUCCUCCUCCGACCAGAUGUAUAUUGCGGUCCUGCUCCCAAACCCUGUCAGUAUACUAGUAAACUACCUUCCUGUAUCUCAGACUCCAGUCGACACCCUUAGGAACAUGGUGUAUGCCGUUGACAUCAACUCCAUCUGUAUGGACGAGUUUAUGACUUGGCCGCAUUUCAUUCAGCCUGAUUCUCCUUUCCGACCGUAUUUCGACAUCUUGUUGGAGAGGGGAUCCUUGUGUGCGCAAUACCUUGAAGGAGUAAGGCUUUGUACCAACUUCCUGACCGUCGCUCAUGGUAUAACGUUGCUCACUUCGGUCUCCCCAUCCGACCCAUAUGCGUGCUUCGCACAUGCCUUGUUCUUAACAACGACGGGCAGCUACACUGAGUUCAUCCCGGUAAAUGCAAUGUUCUGGGAAAUGAUACAAAAUUUCGAGGCUGCAACCGCCGUGGGAGAGUUGGUGAUGUAUCACAUCAGUCAGCUUCAUCUUCAAGGCCCUCCGCUGUGGCAAAGAUCGUGGAGGUUUGUCAUCAGUCCGCCAUGUAUCGGACGCUGCACAUACGGACAUUGGUGCCGCAAUUGUUUUUUCUAUUGGUACGCUCGAGAACUAUGCAUUUUCUACUAGAUGUGCGAUGGCUAUAAAGGAAGAAGCAUGCAAUUUUCCCACUUAUGACUAUGCUUCCGCUAUCACCUUUACUUUAUUUCUUAUGAAUCUCUACCGUAAUAGUCUGUUUAUUUCUAUGCUUUGUAUUUCCCUUUCCAGGAGUCUUGCUAUGAAUGAAUGAAGUUAACCCUAGGUGUCUGUUUAUUUCUAUGCUUUGUAUUUUCUUUUUGAAGGACUCUUGUUAUGAAUGAAUGAAAUCUACUUUUAUGAAUUAAACAUAUAUGAAUAAUUACACGUUUUGUAGGUGUACGUAAUAUAUAUACGUACAUAGUAGAGAACACUAAUAUUAUCGUACACAUCCAGUAAAUGGAAACUCCGAAAAUGUUAUAAUAUGUACGUACAAUGCUGGAAUUAGUCAUUAUGAACGUAUACUUGUCAAGAAUUUUAUAUUGAUGGAACAAAAAUUAAAAAUAAAUUAGGCCAUAUAUUUUUAAGUUUGGGGAGAAUAACAAACUAGAAAACAACAAUAUUUGUUUGUUUUUAUAGCAACAAGAGAUUUUAGAAAUAAAAACUGUAGUUGUUUUUAGAAUACGAUAAAAAAACAAAGCAAGAAGCACGCCUGCAGACUAAUAAACCACCGUUUUGAUCUCUUGGACUUCCGGGAUGUCCGGAUCAGCAAACAACUUUGAUACAGGGCCAUGACUGACAAGCUUUGGGUUAUUUCUCCCGGUUACCCUCCAGCAAACGAGUGCUACCACAAUAUUGUGACGAGUAUAAUUGCGGAAGUAACUUUGGAAGUCCAAAGCUUGUUGAUUGUGGGCUUCACAUUCCAAAACUUAGUUGCUAAAGUAGAGGGAAAGAGAAACAUGAUCAGCAAAUUAAAGUAGUUUUAUUUGCAAAGGAUAGAGAUACGUACUAUCUAUCUUUGAUCUUGAAAGGAAGCUUCACACCGUAAAAGUCUUCGGUGAUUCCUCUAACCUCCAAAAGCGCACCAACCGCAUCUGGGGUAUAAACCAAGAUAUUAUGUAACUAUUGGAAAAAAAUUUUAAAAAAAAUUUAAAAAUACACAAGUCUAAGGUAAAACUACUCACCGACCAACACAUUUUUAUCAACCGUCUUCUAAAUAAUGUAGUCGAAUUGAGUGAAAUCAUAAAAAUUGAAUGCGUCCCUUCGCAAUGCGUUAGUAACAACGGUCCGAUCCAAAAACCAGAUCCCGUACUCGUGUGCUGUUGUUUUCACUGGGUCAGCAUUUUUACGUACAGAGAAAGAUGUGAUAAUUUUCCACUCAUUUUCUUUGAGUCGAUCCAAGUAAAAAGGAGCAAGACGACGGUCAAUGGUUGCCUCUAUGCGUGAGCGGGAACCCUGCAGAUUAUGAUGAAAAAGCAAAUAAGAUUUAAGCAAAUGGGUUGUAUGUUGGUAAAAAAUUAGGAGAGGUCGGGAUAUUACCGAUUCAUCUGCCAAGAUGAGUCCGAUUUCGAAAACGUUAGGAGCAACGAACUUCUUAAACACUCGGACGACAAAGACACAAAUUGUCCACCCAGUGAUCAUUGGACACAAUUCAGAAAUGGUAUGAUAUCCGUCCAUGAUGAUAACACGGAAUGUAACCACAAGGGGUGAUAGUUUGUGUUUGACAGAUAUAAAUGGAGAUUUGACUGGUGUUUUCUAGAGAUAGCAGGAACGUGGAAAACCAAGCAAAUAAAUUGGGGCUUAAAUAAUAAAAAUUUGGAAAGAAAUCAAUGGUUAGUUCGAAAGGGUGCAACGUUUGGAAAUAAAUUGGGGCUGACUUGUAUUGUAAAACGACGUCGUUUCACAACUUUGUCUAAAAGGUUUAAAAUGUAUAUAUGCAAAAUUGGGGUCUCGAACCCGUGUGCCUUCAUGACUCUUCCAGAACCUUAUACCAAUGGAUCCCACAACUUUCAUCGAACAUGUCCCAAUCAUUUUAAAUUAUAAACCUUUACAUUUGGGUUUUCAAAGUAAUCAAACGACGCCGUUUUCAAUUGGGGGAAAAAUAAGAAUUCUAGGGUUUUGAAUUGAGAAUCUGAUCUCUCAGUUCUUCUUCGUCUUCUCCGAAAUUAGAGUGAAGAUAGGGGAGAAAAUCGCAGAACAGAGAGCUACAGAGAAAUUGAAUCAGAAGUAAUCGUCAUUUCGCUAGCAGGUAACCAUGUCUUACUCGACCUUCGAUUUAAUGAAGAAAUGAGACUGAAUUGGUGAAAUUUGCUGGGUAGUUGUGAAAUGGGUGAUCGAUUAAGAGGGUUCCCUAAGAAGUGUCGGUGCGGAGAACCUAUAGUGAUGAAGACGUCAAACACUACUAGAAAUCCUGGCAGAUUGUUUCAUGCUUGUCCUUUUGGAGACAAUGUAAGUGGCUAAAUUCUGGGAAUUGUUGUCUAUAUGUGUUUUUGUGUCAUAUAAGAGAUGCAUUUAGCUUGGUAGGACAGGAUAAUAGGUAUCAUGUGUUCAAAUGGACGGAUUCUUGUAUGGUAGAAGAGAUACAAGACUUAAUAGAGAAAGUUGAUAACUUAGAAGGAACUUCGAUUACAAUGCAAAAAAGCUUCAAUGCGUGUGAAUCAGAGAUUGAGAAUGUGACGAUGGAGACGCGUGUCUGUGAGGCUGUGAUUGAAAAAGAAGUUGCAGAGUUGAAAAUUCAGUUUCGUAGCUUGUAGAAUAUCGUGGUGUUCGCUUUGGUGUUGAUUUUCUUUUUCAGGUUUAUAUUUUGAAUCUAUAUGUAUUUUCUUUUUCAUGAUGUGGGUUUGAACUAAAAUCAUGAUGUGUUUUGAAAUAUGAGAAUCUAUAUGUAUGAAUGAUGUUUGUGUUUGGGUUUCUGUAAUGAUCGAGAAGAAAAAGAGGAAAUGAGAAAUCGAUUUGAAAAAUACACUAAAAAAAUGUGCAGGUAUAAAAAUCAACGGUCCAGAAAUUACGGAUAUGGAAAUCCCUUUUCCCUUGUGUAACCGUCUAGAACCGUUUCAUUUAUAAGGUAUACGUACACGGGGAAGCUGAAAACGUACAAAGGCAUACGUACACCGAAAUAAACUUGGAUACACAAAAAAUACAUAAACGUACACUGCCCACACUUUGCCAAAAAAAAACAAACCUACAGAGCUAAAUUGGAUUUUUGCAAGUCUUCUUGUUAUGACCUUCUUGUCUACAUCUUGUGCAGAGAUUCGGAUUUAGUCUUUUCUGUCUUUUUUUCUGAACGUGAGAAACAACAAAAGUAAACAAGAAAAUCAUGUAUAUAGACAUAGCAUAGAUAUCGUCAAUAAGGUACAAGCAAAAAUGAUAUAACUUACCCGGUUUUCACCCCUAGAAGGUAUCCUUUUGCUGGUUGGUCUCCCGGGUGGUCGUCUACUGUGAGGAGGAAUAAGUAUAAUUUCUAAUAUAUUUUGAGGGAUGGCAACAUCCUUUGGAUCCGCGAUAGGUAGAAUUGGUUCUUGAAAAGAAUCAGAAAACGUUUGAAGGCUAUACCACCAGCCAACAACAAUCUUCGGAUUAAUCCCAAAUUCUAUUGCAGCUGCUAGACCGUGUUCACAUGGAAUUCUUAACUUCGUGUACCUAAGACACGUACACGUACACUCGUCGAGUACGACAUGGAAAUGCUCACCAGAAUUGCUUGUAACUUGAUAACUCCAGGGUCCAGACAUCUUCACUGCGAAUUUCCCGGACUCAGAUAAAUCUUGGAGAAAACGCUCAUCAACCUCAGGCGUCACUAAAGAUUUACAUUUAGCCACUUUUUUCCGCCUAGCUGCGAACCACCGCAUAAGGACCUCUCGAAUGAACUCUAUCAUGUAGACAAUCAGAUAUGUUUUUGCUUUGGUUAAGACGUUAUUCAUAGACUCUGAGUUGUUGCUAAACAUGAUAUUGUACCGUUCCCCUUUGCAGUGAGCUCUUGUCCAAUGCUCAAAUCCAAUUUCUUCCAAGUAAUUUGCGCAUCCAGCACUUCUGCCCCUUAACUCUGCAAAGUAUUUUUCAAAAUCCCUCACCCUAUAUGCUUUUGCGGCGCUGAAGUAUAAUCCCGAAACACCAUACUUACUAUAAUACGUGGAUAUAUUUCGCUCAAGGUGUACUACACAUGCUCCAUGAUGAGCUUUCGGGUACACAACACUGAGUCCUUUGUAAAUAGAAGAAUGCCUGUCCGAGACAAUCAUUAAAUCUUCACUGUCUGGAACAAUCUCAGAUAAUUUAUCAAAGAACCAAAUCCAUGAAGCAUCGGUCUCCCCAUCAACAAAACCAAAAGCUAUUGGAAAUAUUUGGAAGUUCCCGUCUUGGGCACAUGCUAUUAGGAGGACCCCUUUGUAACGACCUACUAGCUGUGUACCAUCUACGACAACUACUUUCCGCAUAUACUUAACUCCUUUUAUGGAUGCCCCGAGAGCUACAAAUACAUACUUAAAUCGCUGCUUACCAUCAGCUUCAGGGGUAGAGUGGAGGUGUGUUAUUGUCCCAGGAUUAGCUGCUUUAAGGAGAUACAAAUAAGUUGGUAAAAACCUGUAACUUUUGAUAUCAUCCCCUCUUACAUUUUCAAUUGCCACCUCUUUAACUCUCCAAGCUGUAGCAUAUGAAAUCCGAACAUUGAGAUCAUUUAAUAGCAACUGUGGUAAAUCAACAGCUCUCGGACCUCCUUGCGUAGAACUGUAUCUACUCUUCACUACCUCUCCGAGAAGUUUAUAGUUAGCAUGUUUAGCGUAACCCUUGCGAGUGUCGACGACACAUGUAUGGAUGGAAUUAUACCUUGUGAUUUUGAAACAUUCUGAAUUCUUGACAACCUUUGCAGACAAAUGCCACCGACAAUUUUCAUCCACACAAACCAUCUCCAAUCUUCUAGGAUCAGACCGAGUUUGCUUGUAGCAAAAGCAAACUUUGAGUGCAAGAUAAGACAUAGUUUGUUGUAUGACUUUCCUGUUCAUAAACACACUACCCACAUACAAUGUCUCACCAGUCGUACUAAUUUCAACUUCUGUAGAAUCACAUCUAACUUUGGCUAAAUCAUCAAAUACUGGAGCAGCAUCAUUAUCAAGAAUCUCCGGCUCUCCACUAUGUAAUAAAGAAAAUCCAUUAUACACUUCGUAAGCCUCAACCGAGGGUUGUAUACGGAGAUCAGUUUCAUUUAAGACACCAGUUUCUGAACCUCCGAUAUCCAAAUCCACACCAAUCUCUCCAUUGACUUCGUCUCUACCAUUAACAUCGGUAUCCGUAUACGUAACAAAUUCAUCUUCGCAUCCUGUGUCUUGUACACAUUCUCGAGUGUACGUACAUUGGAGCAAUCCAUGUUGACACGUCCGGGUUGAAUUCACAGUGGGCUGAGUGUCACCCAAAUUCGCACUUCCUUCUCAUGUACGUACACGUUUACUUGUGUUCGUACACUCUUCCAAUAGACGACUGAAUUUCCCUGCCAGUUCUACGGUCGGUGGAGUGUCACAGACGUCCUCCUCAACAUGGCCAACUCCAUAUUCUUCUACAAUCAAAUCAUUCCUCUUGUUGUAAUUGUAAUCUUCACUACUACCUUCACUGCCGUCUAUAGUAGGGUCGAGGGUACUUCCGGCACUAUAUCCACCACUGACAUCGUCAUCUAUUUCAAUGUUUUCGUCGCUGUCAUCCUCUGCAUCUUCAUUUGUUUUUUCAUCCUGUACGUCAGUUUGCUCAUCUACAUCCGCAUUAGUAGUGGCAUCUACAGUUGUACUGAACGACACAAACAAGUUGACACUUGGAUCCCCAACACGAAUCAGGAAGAAUGUAUCCAAGCUCAUUUGAUUGUCAAUGUAGACAGGAGGGCGUGUACGUUCUAUCAUAAUUGACAUAUUUCCCGGCAUCCAGUAACUAAUUAUUGGCUGUCAUUCAUUGUACUUCAAAUUGAAAACCUCACAUAAUGUACGUGCCAAAUCCGUGUACCUCAUGUUUUCUCUAACACGUACACACCGACCAUAGCUUCCUUUCUCAGGUUCAAAUUUCCAUUGUUCUUUUGUUAUUAUCCACUCACCAACCAUAAUAAAUACUGGAAUCUCCAUUAACAUCCUGCAUCAUAAAUUCAGGAGAACCCCAUUAAAUGCAACUGAGAACAACUUUUAUAACUCCAACUAAAAAAAGACUUUGCAACUACACACUUAGUGCACAUUGAAUCUCCUCAUUUAACAUUUAUUACAGAACAAAUAUAGAAUGAAGACAGGAAUAAAUGAUCAAUUUCCUGAAGUUUUGUAUCCAAAUCAAUUUUGUUUUCAUUGAAAGUGUAUGUAAUACCUAAAAUUUAUAUUUACAACUUCAUUACUUACCACGGUCACUGCUUUCUCGCCUGCAAACUUUGUUAAACAACAAGAUCAAAAUGGCGUCUAUCUCAUUUAUUCAUAGAUAUUGAGGGGAAGUUUAUGUUUUUUCUUAUUUCUCUUUACAAAAUCUAAACAGUGGACGUUAUUACGAUUUAAGAUGAUUAAAAUAAGAUGUAAUGAUGAGUUUGCAUUGAUUACAGUUGGAAUGAGUCAUGUUUCAACUUUUUCAGUAUUUAAAACAUUUGUGACAACGUAUUUUAUUUGUUUUAUUCUUUCGGUGUACACUGUACAUCCGACGGAAAUAUUAAAAAACUAAUCAACUGUAGCUAACGAGAUACUGUGUACGUAACCAACUCGCCUGACGAUUUCGUUCGCAGUCACUGUACACCGGUUCGGCUACAAGGGCAUUUUCGUCAGAAAUUGACAUAAUUGUCAAAUGGUGAAAGCUAAUCCCCACUUUGUCAAAACCUGAAAUAAAAACUUAAAAGUUGGGCCUGGCCCGUAAUUAACCCUAUAUUAAAUCAAAAUUCUAGCAACAAGUAACUCAAGUCCUCCCCUUAAACUUUUAAAAAUUUAAUAUCUGUGAUCGUAAAACAUUUUCAAUAUAUUUCAAUAUAUUUCUUAUUUUGGUUAUUAAAGUUUAUCUUUUGGGACUAAGCGUUAAAAUUGCAAAAAAAAUAACGAUUGGUUGAUCUGUUUUAUAGAAAAUAUUUUUAUUUUUUAUAAAUGAGUGAUUGAUUUGUUUAAUUCAAGGUUUUCUUUUUUUUUCCGUCAAAUUUCUCUUCAUAAAAUUAAAAAAUGUUUAUCCUUAUCUUUUUCUAUAUAUUUUCUUCUUAAAAUUUGUUUUAUACAAAACCUUCAAUAUUUCUAAACUAUUAAAAUUUUGAAAAUGGAAUCUUCUCCCCCUUUUUCCCCAACGCUCUCAUCGUCGUCAUAGAAAUCUGAAAUUCUAACAACAACAGUGAAGAAGAAAUCCUUCGCAACCAUUUCAAAUGCAAGAUCUCUUCGGAUCAGUUCGCCGGUCACUAGUUUUCCGUUCUACCACCGACGAUGACAACCAAGAGAAUCAUCCUCCUCCGUUUCCUACUCUCCUCGCCGAUAAAAUCACUUCGUGUAUCCGCAAAUCCAUGGUUUUCGCCAAACCUAAUUCACCACCACCUAACUCCACCGUACAGACGAAACCUCCGAUUCGGUGGCGGAAAGGUCAGUUAAUCGGCCGUGGUGCUUUUGGUACUGUGUAUAUGGGGAUGAAUCUUGAUUCCGGUGAGCUUCUAGCCGUUAAACAGGUUAGUUUGAGUUUGAAAUUGUUAUCUUCUUCUGGAAUUUUGAUUUACUCGUCUCGGAUUUUGAUUUUGAAAUUAGUGUCACUUUAAUGGUUCUUAUUGGUAAUUAAUGGAAUCUAUAAGCUUUAAUCACAGAUUUCUACUUUGUUUUCGGUUGUCACUGUCAUUGAUUAUGGUCAGAUUUUGGAAUUUAGGGUUUUAAGCUCUUAGACUUGUUUUUGAAUCUUUUUGUGGCUUUGAGUUGUUGUUGUGAUUUGAUUAUAUCAUGAGCUGAUUGUAGUUGUUUCUUUCUCAGGUUUUGAUUGCAUCUAAUUGUGCAUCCAAGGAAAAAACUCAGGUUCAUAAACAAGCCAAUCUGUUUCUUGUUGAUAUUGUGCUACAUUUUGGUUUUACGUUACAUGACUUUCUUAUUUUGGUGCAUAAAAGGCUCAUAUUCAGGAGCUUGAAGAGGAAGUGAAGCUACUCAAGAAUCUCUCCCAUCCAAAUAUAGUUGUAAGCAAUAACAUUAUUAUCUUCGUGCAAUGCUGAUAGAUCAAAGCAGGUUUCUGUUUUUUUUUCUAACUUUGGCAAUUUGUUUUGGCCUUAGAGGUAUUUGGGUACGGUGAGGGAAGAUGACACUUUGAAUAUUUUGCUUGAAUUUGUUCCUGGUGGAUCAAUAUCUUCACUUUUGGAGAAAUUUGGAUCCUUUCCUGAAUCUGUAAGUCUUCACUCCAUAAACCCCUAUUGGUUUCCUUAAAUGUUGAUGAUCGUAAUGUCUUUAAGCUGAUUGGCUCAGGUUGUUCGGACAUACACAAAGCAACUGCUUUUAGGCUUGGAGUACCUUCACAAUCAUGCGAUUAUGCACCGUGACAUUAAGGUAUCUAUUUUUGCACUUACUACGAAACUGUUUAAUAUUUCACAUAUCCUUGCCCUUCUCAUUCGAGGUUCUCAGGGUGCUAAUAUCCUUGUGGAUAAUCAAGGAUGCAUUAAACUUGCUGAUUUUGGUGCAUCCAAACAGGUAGCUGAGUUGGUAAGUCAAUUUUCAGUCUUCAACUUCUAUUAUAUUAAAACCAUUCUGCUCUGAGUUUUCUAGUCUUACUCAAGUUGUUCUUAUAACAUAUUCUUCAUCAUGAUUUCAUUCUAAUAGAAAUACAUUUAUCUCUAGGCUACUAUUUCGGGUGCCAAAUCUAUGAAAGGGACUCCCUAUUGGAUGGCUCCGGAAGUUAUUCUUCAAACUGGGCAUAGCUUGUAAGCAUUUCUUCAAACAUGCUUGUAAUUGCGAGGUUACAUGCUUUGUCGUCAAUUUCAUAUUACCUCUGGCUAUUCUAUGCAGUUCUGCUGAUAUUUGGAGUGUAGGAUGCACAGUUAUUGAAAUGGUAACUGGCAAAGCUCCUUGGAGCCAGCAGUAUAAAGAGGUACUUAAUUUUGUAAUUUUGUAUUCAAUGUUAUUCACAAAAUCUGGUUCUUGAACUUCUGUGGAUAUAUAUUUUUUCAGAUUGCUGCUAUUUUCCACAUUGGAACGACGAAGUCGCAUCCUCCAAUCCCUGACAAUCUCUCCUCUGAUGCGAAAGAUUUUUUGCUCAAGUGUCUGCAGCAGUACGCUACUUUUGACUCAAAUUGUAGAUUAGAAAUCGAAUUAACUUCUAUCACUUCUUUUGCUUGUUGUCUUGUGGAUUGCUGAAACAUCAGGUCCUGUCUUGGCAGGGAACCAAAUCUGCGGCCAACCGCUUCUGAGCUGCUAAAGGUGAAAUGGUCAACAGAGUUAAUGAAAUCCAAUCAGGUCACAUAUUUUAAUUCAUCGAGUCAUAAUGUUCUUGCUUUUCUUUUAUUGGCAGCAUCCAUUUGUUACGGGCAAACAGAAGGAAUCUGCUUCUAUAGAUCUUGCUUCAGUCAUGGUGAGUUCACAUUAUCCAAUCUAUAGACUAUCAUUUAGGUUUUUUCUUAAGGAAUUUUGAUAGGACAUCUCUUUGUGUACAUAUUCUCAGGACAAUUCAUGCAGUCCUUUACCAUCCGAGUUGACAAACAUUAAGAGCUAGUAAGUGCUGAGCUGAAGCCAAAAACUUUUAAGCUGAAUUUCUGACUGCUGAUCGUUUGUUUCUUUUUCUUACAGUCAAAUGUCUACAAGUGAAGAUGUAGGAGACAUCUGUAACUUGGGUAGUCUGACUUGUACACUUGCUUUCCCUGAGAAUUCAAUCCAAAAUAACAGUUUGUGUCUGAAAGGUAAUAACGGGUAUGAUGAGGAUGAUGAUGAUAAUGAUAUGUGUUUGUUUGACGAUGAGGAUUUCUUGACAUAUAAUGGAAAAACUUGCCCUAGUCUUGACAAUAAUACUGAUGCGAGGAAGGUAAGCUUGUGUGAGAUUAAACUUUCUCAUAUAUAUUUCAGAUAAUUUUCCGAAUAAUUAAAUCAAUUUCGGUUUCAUAUUAUUUCAACACAGAGCUGUGAUACCAUGAGUGAGAUCUCUGAUAUUUUGAAGUGCAAAUUUGACGAAAAUUCUGGAAAUGGAGAAACAGAGACGAAAAAUAGUAUGGAAGUUGACCAUCCAUCGUACUCAGAGGAUGAAAAUGAGCUGACCGAAUCAAAAAUCAAAGCUUUCUUAGAUGACAAGGUGACUCAUUGAUAAUGUUCUGUUUCCUCAGUGCAUUUAUAUCCACUCAGAGUUUGCAAACAUUGACUUGGUGGUAAUCUGUCUUAACCAUAGGCUGCAGAUUUAAAGAAGUUACAGACGCCUCUCUAUGAAGAAUUCUACAACGGUAUGAUCACAUGCUCUCCCAUCUGCAUGGAGAGUAACAUCAAUAACAAUAAACCAGAGGAGGCACCUCGUGGUUUCUUGAAACUGCCUCCAAAAAGUAGGUCUCCGAUUCAGGGCCAUAUUGGUCGUUCACCUUCUAGAAGAACAGAUGCAGCAUGUUGUUCCAAGAGCCCAGAAAGUGGUAGUAGCUCUGGUUUGCCGAAUAAUAGCAAUGCAAGUGCUGGUGCAGAACAAGAAUCAAACAGCCAGAGGUAAGUCCAACACCAGAUAUUGUUCUGCUUCAGAAUUAAAUUUUAACUAUAACGAUUUAGAUUCAUUUCCUUCAUUUAUUCGUUAACGUUAAUAGAAACCAAAACUGUAGUCCUGUGAUUGCAUGUCUUAAGAUAUGAUGACCCUCCAUUGCUAGCAAUUGGUUCAAUGGUGACAUUUACCAUGAGUUCUUAUCUCCUUUUCUUUAAACAUCUGGAAUUGUGUUGUUUUUGGCUUUGCAGUGUCGCGCUCUCAGAGAUAGAGAGGAAGUGGAAGGAAGAGCUUGAUCAAGAACUUGAAAGAAAGCGAAGAGGUAACUGCUUUUUUCAUGAAUUCUUCAUCAUUUUUGUGGUUUGCUCAUUUAUAGACCACACAUCAUACAUACUCAAACUCAAAUGUUGUUGCAGAGAUUACACGGCAAGCAGGGAUGGGAUUAUCCCCGAGAGAUAGAAGCUUGAGCCGACAUAGAGAGAAGUCAAGGUUUGCAUCUCCAGGCAAAUGAUCUAUACAAAAAUCCAGCCAAUUUUGCACUUUUGUCUCUAAGGCUCUUACUGCUUCUAAAGCUUUGCUUCUGAUCUUUCGAUUGCUCAUCUAGUAUAUAUGAUAUAGACAUAAAUGUGCCAACUAAAUAUAUAUAUAGAGAUAGCUGAAAUAUUUGAUUGAAGUACAGUGUGAUGAGAGAAUGUUGGUGCAUAUUGAGGGUUAAGCCAACCACAGAGCAAAUAUUUUCGAGAAAUUAUCGAAAGCUUUGUUUACUUUCGAAAGCUUAGUCUUCUCAGUGUCUUGUAUUUUCUUUUGUCACUCCAAAUCUUUUCUUCUGUGAAAGUACAAAUGCUUGCGGAAAGCGCAUAUCAUAUCUUUGGUCUUAAUUUGAAGUCCACGUUGUCUAUAAGAUUAGUUCUCAUUUCUUCUUGGAAAGUCUAUACAGCUUUCAAAGUGAUAGACUUUAAGUCUCAUUGGUGUUAUUCAAUGGUGGAGUUAAAGUCAAUUCUUUAAGGUUUGUAAAAUCUAGUGUUAUUCAAAACUAAAAGACUUGUAAAAUCUUUGUAUAUUAAGCCAUUUGAAAUGAAACUUCUUUGGAGUUUCAUGAGUAAAUUAUUAGAAUCCAAAUCCAAGAUAUAUUGUAGAGAUUUUGAAAUCCACACAAACAGAUUCUUAAAACCAAUAUCAGAAAGCAAAUCUAAACUUUAAAGAAUUGAUUUUAACUCCACCAUUGAAUAACACCCCCUUAGAAUAUAUUUAAUUUAGAGGAUAAAAUGACAAAAAAGUUGUUUCUGCUUACAUGCCAGCUCCAAAUUCACUUAUACUGAGAGGAGACCGAGGCUAGUUUGCCACUAAAUAGAAAAAAUGAAUCUGGCCUGCCAUUUUGUGAUCUGAGUGCCACUAUAAAUGUGAUAUCCCCAAAUUACCCUUAAUGAAAUGACAGACGAUCGGUACAACUAAGAGAUAAUAGUACAACUGGUACAGAUAGAUUAUAGGACAACUGAUACAAAUAGUAUAACUAAGAGAUAAUUGGACAACUGGUACAAAUGGUAUUACUGGAAGAUAAUUGUACAAUUGAAACAAUUGGUAUAACUGACAUAUAAAUAGAUACAACAAGGUACAACUGGUACAAAUAGUUAGGUAUAACUGGUACAAAUAGUUAGGUAAAACUGAAGCAAAACAAUUGUAAUUCUAAACCCUAGCGCCGUCACACUCACUAAUUCGUCUCUUCUUGCUUUGUUCACCGUCAUCGUUGCCGAUUAUCUGCCGUCACACUUCCGUGAACCGUUUUUUCUUGAUUUGUGAACCGUUUUUUCUUACCCGUGCAUUACAAAGCCGAUUUUGGAGAGAUCUAGAUCUAGAUUGUUGUUGGAUAUCUGAUUUGGGAAUCUGAGCAUAAACUAUGAUGAUGGAAACGAAGUCAAGGACAAAGAUCGAUCAAAAGAACGAAGAGAGAGAAGAGAGAUCCAUGAAAAAGAAGAGAUCUAUCAUUUAUGAUGAUGGAGAAGAAGAGAUCUGGGAUCAAAGAUUAAAAAAAUCCAGCAAAAUAGAUCUAGGGCGUUGAUGAUGGUGGAGAAGAAGAGGAGAAGAAGAGAAGAAGAAGAAGAGGAUAAGAAGAAGCGUGAAAAUUAUGUGGAGAAGAUAUGGAUUAGCAAAAGAAAUGGCAAGGGUACGUAAUUUGUGGUUUAGGUUAAGGGUUUUUGGACUUUUACCAUAUAUUUUGAUUUAAAAGAAAAUGAAAAAUAAAAUUAAAAAAUAGGGGUGGCAAAUACGAUUAGU
rnacentral:lncRNA from 1 species